GUCUCCCCACCUGAUGCUAUGCCCCCUCGACCACUUCAGGUUUAUCAUCGUCGCCCUCGUGUCGUUGCUCCUCUCCCUUUUCCUGAGGCACCUGCUGACUCACUUCCUAUCCCUUCGGCUUCACCUGCCCCGGCUCUGCCUUCUCCUAAUGACUUACCCAUUGCUGUUCGGAAAGGUUUUUCUCCUUUCUUUCUCUCUCUCUCUCAACAUGGUAUCAGAGCCAAAGGAGAAAACCUAAUCUUUUUUUCGGUUUAGCCGUGUAAUCAAUUCCGGCAAACCGUCCAGUGACCGUGUUUCACUCCGGUCCCCUCAUUCCCUUCCCGAACCACUCCGGACAACCUCAUCGCCGUCGGAUCUCCACCACGCCGGCAACCUUUUCCGGUGAAAUUUUCCGGCAACCUAUUUUCCGGGAAACGACCACAUAUUCCGAAAAGCCGGAGGCUGAUCUACACUUCAGUGGAAACCCCACCGGAAACCGGCAUCUCACGCGCCCCCACUCGCCGCUCUUCUCCUCCGGACUGUCACCCACGCGCCGGCGAGUGACGGUGCGUGGCUCACUUUCCGGCCACUUCCGACACCUUUCCAGGCUCGUCCGGCGCCAUCUUGGCCUUCUAGCCCCCCGGCAGUCCUCCCCGAGCCCUGCAUCUCCAUUUUUUCCCUGUUUUUGGCUUUCUUGCCAUUCCGGCCACCUCCGACAGGGCUCCCUCCCAUCUCCGCGGCUUGGGUGCUGCUUCUCUUCCUCUUCAGGGCUCUCUUCGAUCCAAAUACGUGAAUAUGACCACCAAAAAUCAGAUCUUUACCUCUAUUAUCUCUCGAUUUCCUAUGAUUACCUCAGAGAAAUUGGUUGGCAGUGAGAAUUAUCUCUCCUGGUCUGCCUCUGUUGAACUUUGGUUCAUGGGUCAAGGUUAUGAGGAUCACUUGGUUACCCAAGAGGCAGAUAUCCCUGAGUUGACCGCGUACAGUGGAGGAAGAUAGAUGCACAGUUAUGUAGUGUAUUAUGGCAAUCGGUUGAUCCCAAGAUUCUUCUUCAUCUUCAAGCCUAAUAAAUUUGUUUUAAAUUUUGGACUCANNNNNNNNNNNNNNNNNNNNNNNNNNNNNNNNNNNNNNNNNNNNNNNNNNNNNNNNNNNNNNNNNNNNNNNNNNNNNNNNNNNNNNNNNNNNNNNNNNNNNNNNNNNNNNNNNNNNNNNNNNNNNNNNNNNNNNNNNNNNNNNNNNNNNNNNNNNNNNNNNNNNNNNNNNNNNNNNNNNNNNNNNNNNNNNNNNNNNNNNNNNNNNNNNNNNNNNNNNNNNNNNNNNNNNNNNNNNNNNNNNNNNNNNNNNNNNNNNNNNNNNNNNNNNNNNNNNNNNNNNNNNNNNNNNNNNNNNNNNNNNNNNNNNNNNNNNNNNNNNNNNNNNNNNNNNNNNNNNNNNNNNNNNNNNNNNNNNNNNNNNNNNNNNNNNNNNNNNNNNNNNNNNNNNUCUUCAAUCUCUCCAUGACACAAACCUUUUUGUAUCAUAUCACCACGAAAUAGCAAUCAACUCCACCUUCAGUGAAAAUUCCUUUUGUUUUCAUCUUGUGUGCUUUGUGAUCUUUUACUCUUCCAGAAAUCUUCAACCCAAGCUCUGAUACCAAUUGUUGUGCCAGCGGAAGCUUUGAUGCCAACGAUGUUAGUUCAAGAACACAAAGAUAAAACAAUCACACAUACGGUACACGAGGUUUUAACGUGGUUCGGCCAACCAUGCCUACGUCCACGGAUGAGAGAGAAUAAUUUCACUAUACAAUAGAGAAUAUUACAGAGGAUAGAACCAGAUACAACUAUUGGGUUCCCGAAACAUCUCAUGUUUCCCCACUCCUUGUAUCCAUACCUUACUACGAGCCCUCUCGCUCCACCAGGUACCUCCCGUUCUUCCUCACAUCUCUAUCCACCUCGUAUAGUCUCUAUAGACCCAUCUCCAUCUCAUAACUUUUUCCCCUCAUGACCUAGAAUAUUUAUAAAGAUAUUUCCAACAACCUUUCUUAUUCUAUAAGGAAGUCUAAUAUUACAAUAAUAUAUCAACCUAGAAAUAUUCUAUAUAAUAUUCUUUACAAAGAAAGGAAUCUAUACUAAUUAGGAAUUUGGGACACUUCUUAACAAUCUCCACCUUGGACCAAAUUAGAUGAAGUUAAUCUUCAAUCUCUCCAUGACACAAACCUUUUUGUAUCAUAUCACCACGAAAUAGCAAUCAACUCCACCUUCAGUGAAAAUUCCUUUUGUUUUCAUCUUGUGUGCUUUGUGAUCUUUUACUCUUCCAGAAAUCUUCAACCCAAGCUCUGAUACCAAUUGUUGUGCCAGCGAAAGCUUUGAUGCCAACAAUGUUAGUUCAAGAACACAAAGAUAAAACAAUCACACAUACGGUACACGAGAUUUUAACGUGGUUCCGCCAACCAUGCCUACGUCCACGGAUNNNNNNNNNNNNNNNNNNNNNNNNNNNNNNNNNNNNNNNNNNNNNNNNNNNNNNNNNNNNNNNNNNNNNNNNNNNNNNNNNNNNNNNNNNNNNNNNNNNNGAAUUUGGGACAUUUCUUAACAAUCUCCCCCUUGGACCAAAUUAGAUGAAGUUAAUCUUCAAUCUCUCCAUGACACAAACCUUUUUGUAUCAUAUCACCACGAAAUAGCAAUCAACUCCACCUUCAGUGAAAAUUCCUUUUGUUUUCAUCUUGUGUGCUUUGUGAUCUUUUACUCUUCCAGAAAUCUUCAACCCAAGCUCUGAUACCAAUUGUUGUGCCAGCGAAAGCUUUGAUGCCAACAAUGUUAGUUCAAGAACACAAAGAUAAAACAAUCACACAUACGGUACACGAGAUUUUAACGUGGUUCCGCCAACCAUGCCUACGUCCACGGAUGAGAGAGAAUAAUUUCACUAUACAAUAGAGAAUAUUACAGAGGAUAGAACCAGAUACAACUAUUGGGUUCCCGAAACAUCUCAUGUUUCCCCACUCCUUGUAUCCAUACCUUACUACGAGCCCUCUCGCUUCACCAAGUACCUCCCGUUCUUCCUCACAUCUCUAUCCACCUCGUAUAGUCUCUAUAGACCCAUCUCCAUCUCAUAACUUUUUCCCCUCAUGACCUAGAAUAUUUAUAGAGAUAUUUCCAACAACCUUCCUUAUUCUAUAAGGAAGUCUAAUAUUACAAUAAUAUAUCAACCUAGAAAUAUUCUAUAUAAUAUUCUUUACAAAGAAAGGAAUCUAUACUAAUUAGGAAUUUGGGACACUUCCUAACACACACAUACGGUACACGAGGUUUUAACGUGGUUCGGUUAACCAUGCAUACGUCAACGGAUGAGAGAAUGAUUCCACUAUACAAAAGAGAAUAUUACAGAUGAUAGAACCAGAUACAACUAUUGAGUUCCCGAAACAUCCCAUGUUUCCCCACUCCUUGUAUCCAUACCUUACUACGAACCCUCUCGCUCCACCCGGUACCUCCCGUUCUUCCUCACAUCUCUAUCCACCUCGUAUACCCUCUACAGACCCAUCUCUAUCCCAUAACUUUUUCCUCUUAUGACCUAAAAUAUUUAUAAAGAUAUUUCCAACAACCUUCCUUAUUCUAUAAGGAAGUCUAAUAUUAUAAUAAUAUAUCAACCUAGAAAUAUUCUAUAUAAUAUUCUUUACAAAAAAGAAAUCUAUACUAAUUAGAAAUUUGGGACAUUUCCUAACAAUGACAAGCUUGGUUGUAUUUGAAAGCAUGGAAAACUCUUUGUCAAGUAAAUGGAGCCCAACCAAUAAUAUUAAAAAAGAUGUAGCUCAAAGCAUAAAUAAUUCAUUAUUUUGGUUUUUUUUUUUAACCCUAAGAUGAAAGACUUGAAUUAUGCUCAUCCUAUGUGCAUUUGCUAGAUUUAAUCAUUAAGUGCUUUUUUAUUUGUUGUCGCUUUCAAGCAUAGUUGUUGAGCACUAAAUUUGAGAUGAUGUUUUUGAGAAGUGUUAUUCAUGUAAACCAAAAUUAUUACCCUAUUCUCGACUUUAAUCUCUCUUAUUGCUCAACUUUAAUAGAUGAUGUUUUUGAUAUGUCUUAUACAUGUUAACCAAAAUUAUUACCCUAUUCUCUUUACUUUAAUCUCUCUUAUUGGUCAACUUUAAUCUCUUUCUUUGUUUAUUUGUUUUAUAGUUAUUUAUCAUUUCUUACCAAUUAAAUGAAUUACAGUUGUUUUAUAAUAUAAUGUUGACAUCAAUUCAUGAUAAAUGAAUGCAAGCCAAAGAUUCACAAAUUUAACGCUUUAGAGCUAGUUAAAGCAGAAAAUGAAUCCAACGUCCAUAUAUUUAACAUAAUUGAUGUUAAGGACAUGAAAUAUGAAAAACAAAAAUAAUUUUAAAGGAAAUCAGGAAAAGGGAAUAUGCUUAUAGGUCUCAUCCUUAUGAUUCUUUGACUUUUAUAUAUUAUUUUCCCUUUUCUUUACUUGCUCUUUUACUCCCCUUUUUUAUUUCUAAAUGUCAUAUUUAUUUUAUUUUUUUCUAAAAUUAUUUUAAUAUUUUUUAUUUCUCUUUUUAUUAAAAUAAAAAAAAUAAAAAAAAGGAAAACACAAUAGAUAUAUUAGUAGACUUUUAGUUGUUAUUUUUAAAUUUUUUAAUUUAAUUUAAUUUUUAUAUUUUAUAAUUGAAUAGGUUAAUUUUUAAGUAAAAAUAAAUAUUUUCUAUAAUUUAAAUUUAUUUUUAUUUUCUUAUUUUAUUUUAUUAUUUAUAAUAUAACAUCUUAGUAAUGUUCUUGAAAGUAAUUAAUCAAACUUUUAUUAAACUUUAAUAUUAAUAAUAGCAUUUUUUAAAUGUAAUUUUCAUAUAUUUGAAAUAGAGAAAUAACUUUUUUUCUUUAUAGAUUUGUUGCAUAUAUUUUAGAAUUUUCAUAUGAUAUAUAUUGUUAUUAUAUAAAAUAAAAAAUCAUGUUGAAAUCAUUUAAAAAAUAUUUUUAAUAUUUUCAUUUUUAAUUGUAUUUUGAAAAAUAAUUUGAAGUUAUAUAUUGAAAUAAACUUUUCAAAUCAAUAUUUUACUUUACAAGUGAGUUUAAUUUAUUUAUCUCCAUCAUUUAAAAACAUAAAUCACUAGAGAACUAAAAGUCUAAAAAAAAAUAAAUAACAAACACCAUGCAUCGUAAAUUAUACAACAUAAUCACAUAAUAUAAAUUGAUUUUAUACAAUUUUCAUGUCAUUUGGAUAUUUUUUGCAUUAUGAAAAAAUUAUAUGUUUCAAUUUAAUUAUAUAUGUUUGCUAACAUUAGAGCUGAAUUUUACAUCCUUUUUACACCCUACGCCCAUAGUCAUUUCACUCUAAGCGCUUUUUCAUUUACUGUUGCUUUCACGAAUAGUUGUUUAUCACUUAAUAUGAGAUGAUAUUAUUGACACGCUUUAUUCAUGCAUGGUGGCCAAAAUUAUUGAUCCACUCUGUUGACUUUAAUCUCUCAUUAAUUGAUCAUUUAUUUUAUGCUAUUUAUUAUAUUUACACUUUUUCAUUUACUUUACUCAGAGGAGACCGGUUGUACCCGGGGAAAAAGCUUGUCCAUAUGCCAUAUAUCAUAUAUUAAAUUUUAUCAGUCCCCAAAUUAUACACUAUUUAUAUCAUUUAUACCUCACCCUCUUUAUAUAUAUAUAUAUAUAUAUAUAUUAGAGUUAUGUCAUCCAAAUUCUUUUUUAUUCAAUCCAAAAUCCUUUCACUAUAAGUAUAGAUCCCAUUGGAGGUGUAAUGCUUCAGUCUCGUGGUAUGAAUAUGUUUUGUUUAUUAUAUAUUUAAUUUUUUUAUAAAAUAAAUAACAUUUUUUACCCCUAUGAGGCACAAUAAAAAUAUUGUGUUCAUAUAAAAAGUGUUUAUAAUGUUUAAUAUCAAAUAAAUUUUUUUUUAAUAUUAUAUAAAUAUAAAUUUCUUUUAAUUUGAUAAACAUAUUUUAAAGAUGUAAAAUUUUAGAUAUUGUAGGAAAUCUUAUGAAAGAAUAAUUUUUCUCUAACAAAAUGGCAUGAGUAAAAAUGAAAAUAUAGAAUAUGGAACAUGUGACAUGACAUUAUCCAUGGCAAUGCAUUAACGAGUACUUUUCAAGGAAAACUAGAUUUUUUUUUUUUUUUUUUAUAAAAGAUGGGGAAACCUUAAUUGCAAAGGCAAUAAUGAUAGACACAUGGCAAUGCAUUAUCCAUCUAGGAUGUGACAUGACAUUAACUUUUGUUCUAACAGGUAGGAUGCUUUAAAUGGAGACUUGAUGAAGUGGAGAAAGCUGAUGGCACCACAGAGGAUCAGUACCUACUCCCAUCCCCUCUGUAUUUAAUGGUGAAGUCCCAAGUGUUUGCUGCACGACUGCCUAAGCGCCUCUUCCACUUCCUUGGUUCUCAGUUUGUUUCCUGAGAAUUCUCACUAGAAAGUAGGAAUUAGGGAGACAUGGGUCUAGUAGGUAAGCUUGAGGCUGAAAUUCUGAUCCUGGCUCCUGCUGAUAAGUUUCAUGAGGUUUGGGGAGGCAGGCCUCACCACAUGUCCAGUGUCUCCCCUGGAAAGGUUCAGAAAGUUGACCUGCACGAGGGUGACUGGGGCAAUGUCGGCUCUGUCAUCGAGUGGAGCUACGUUAUUGGUAAGCCAACUCUCACUCCACACCACCUCUAUCCACUCAACAUUAUGUAUAUUUUUGCAAAAAUGCUUUACAUCAUGAGAUAAUCUGCUCUUUUUAUAAUAUGUUUUUAUUUGGACAAGUGAUUCAUAAACGCAUAUUCACAGCAUAUAAUCCGUAUUUUUGUAGCACAGAUUCCACAUCCUACUUUCAUAUAUCCUGUAAAAUGAUAACAACAGUAAAAUGGUCUCGUUUAAUAAUGAUUUUAGGAAAUGGUAAUAACUUUUUAAUAUUUAAAAAUUUUCAUUACUUAAGUACUUAAAAUUUUAUAAAUAUUUUUUAAAAUUAUUAUCAAACGCACUCUAAUUCUUUUAACUAUAUAUCUUAUAACUACUAAGAAAAUCAAUAACAUGACAAAAUAGAAAUAAUAAAAAAGAUUAAUAUUGAUUACUCUUAAUUUAUAAAAAUAUUAAUUAAAAUGGAUUUUUAUUAUUGAAUUUUAUGCAUUUCAUUUAUUAUACCUAUUCCAUGUCUUAAUAUUCAUAUUUGGUCAUUUCAUAUUCUAUCAUCUUUCCUUUUUGUAGAUACCACUUUCAUGAUACAAUAAUUUAAGUUAGAAUAUAACAUAUUUCUUUUUGUAUUUUACUAUAUACUCAUUUAAUAUUAAAAAUAAAUAAAUCAUAACUUUUUUUUUUUUUUAAUUUCUUGUUGCAUGAUUAAAGCUAAAAUAAAUUUGAUUUAUAUUAUUAGCCUUUACCUAUUUGGCUAAAUUAAUUGAUAGUUUAGCAUGAAUUAAAGAUUUACUUAAGAAGUAUCAUACAUAUGAUUAUAUAUAUAUAGGUUGUAGAUUGCCAAAUUUUUUUCACCAUUUUUGAACAUAAUUGAAGAAUCAUUCAAAAAAUUAUUUUUUGAAGAAUAAUUUCAUCAUUACCUUAAUAUUUUUGCACACUUAAAAGGAUAAAAGAAAGGUCUUUUUUUUUUAACAUUUAAUUGCCGUCGGAGAUGAUUGCUUCCACUCUAACACAUAAUCUCUUAAAUUAUGAGCAUAAAUGAAAAUAAUUUAUAUAUAUUAUUUUUUAAACUAAAAGUAAUAGAUAGGGUUUGUUUGGUGAUUUUUUUAAAAAAAGUUUUGAAAAAACAGUUUUUUUUUUUUAAAAACUAUUAUAUGAUGUUUUGUAAAACAAAAAUAUAUUUGAAAACUUAAAAUAUUUUUAAAUAUGUUUUAAAAUAGUUUUUAUCUCUAGUGUUUUAUUUUGUAAUUAUUCUAUAUAUUUGUAUAAUUAUUUUUUAAAAUAAUUCUUAGAAAACAAAUAAAAAUAAUAAAAAAACAACUCAAUGAUAUUUUCAUAAUACAAAAAGCAGUAUUUUAUUAUCAAAUGUGUUUUCCUCCUUUUUUUUUUUUUUUUUUGAAGAACAAAUAAAUUAUUCUUCAAAACAAUUACCAAAUAAAAACCUAAUUUUUUUUUUAAAUUCUCAAAUAGUCAUUUUAAAAAUAUAUAUAAAAAGAAGAAUGAAGAUCCAAUUUGAAUUAUUAAAAAUAGUAAUGAAAAUUUGGAUUGUUAGAUGAUGAUAUAAAUAAAUAAAACAUAUGAAUAAACUUAAAAUAUAAAAAUGGGUUCAACUAUAAACUAAUGAGAUUAAAUACAAAACAUGAAUUCUAAAGUUUAAAUGUAAUCAUUAUUUUCACUAAAAUGUUUCUUGAUAGAUGUCAUUUGUUUUUAGCUUUUUACUUUUUGAUAACUCGCAAUUUAGAAUUGAAGACUCAAUUUGGCAACGGGCCUCAAUCUUAAUUGGACUACACCUAUAAACCAAAACAAAAAUCUCUACUGGCAUUAUUAGACUUGGAUUUGGCAAGAUUUUCCUCAAGAUUUGUCCAUUAAAAUUUUUGUCCUUUUUCAAUUAUGACAUGUGACAUAAGUCAUUUCCAACUAUUCAUUCAGGUGGUCUCUUAAUUUGAAUUUCAUGAGUAUUAAUGUAAAGGUUUUUCAGACAAAUGUCGUAUUCUUUUUUUUUACUUUCAUGUGUAUUUUUACCAGAGAAGUCAAUAUGAUAUUUAAAAAAUAGUUAGCAGUACAACCACAUGGGCUUGACAUGUGUGCACCCGUACACCAUGGGUCAAUAUUCUUCAUUUUCAAUUGUCCUUAAUCAAAAAAUAAUUUUGCCCACAAUCAUAAAGUAUUCAUGAAUAGGUUUUAAUCAUUAAAUUUGGUUGUUUGGGGGUGGCAGUAAUAUAAUCACCAUUGAAUUUUACAAUUUGAUAGUAUGUUUAAAAAUUGACCGACUAGCACUUUUCCUAAACACACUAAUUUCAAUUGAGUACAAUUCUUCUAAUUAUAUUAUUUUUGUUUGAAACCAAAGAUGGAAAAAAUCAUGUUACUAAGGACAUUGUGGAAGCCAUAGAGAGGGAAAAUAAAACGGUUACUUUUAAAGUCAUUGAAGGAGAUAUCUUGAAGGAAUACAAAUCCUUUAAGGCUAUUGUCCAAGCUAUUUCAAAAGGUGAAGCCACUUGGGUGCGUUGGAUUAUCGAGUAUGAGAAGCUUAACAAGAAAUCUCUGCUCCUGUUAAAUUGUUUGGAUUUAUAAUUCAUCUCAGUGAAGAAAUUGAUGACCACCUUGUUCAGGCAUAGACAUAAAAUGUCAUAGUUUGGUACUACUUGAUGACUUCUCAUAUAAAUAAUGUUAAUAUCGUGUGUCGUGUGAGAUGAAUGAGCAAUAGCUCAACCAUGUUUUAGUCCUUUAUUUGAGUGUGGGGGAGGUUUGAAGUCUUUUGAAAUAUCUUAUUAUUGAAAGUUGUUUAUUUACUUACUAUUUAAUGAGAGAGAAGCUUGGUUUGGUUUGUGUAUUUGUUCACUUCAUUUUUUUGGUAAUAGGUAAUAAGGGUCUCCAACGGGCGGGCCGGGCCGGGCCGAGCUCAAAUGCUAGGCCCGCGGGCCGGGCCGCGGGCUUUUUUAAAUAAGCCAAAAUAGCUUUUAAAUAAAGGAAGGAAGAGGGGGGGAUUCGAACCCCUUCCCUCAAGCUUAAAUUUCAAGGCUCUAACCAACUGAGCUACAUUUCUUUUGUGCUUAUUAAAUGAAUUAGUUAUGUAUAUAUAAAAAUAUAGUAUAUUAUUUUAAAAAAAAAAAUUAAAGGCGGGCCUACGGGCCGGGCCGGGCCUAAAGCGGGCCGCGGGCCGCGGGCUUUUUGGAGACCCCUAAUAGGUAAGAUGGGCGAAUGAUAGUUUUGCAGCCACUAAGCCUCAUGGAGCUAUAGCAUAUGGGACAUCAAAAACCUAAUCAUGGCAAGUAGGUUAGGCAGGCCGAGCUUGCCCACGACCCACCAUUGUUCGGGACAUGCCUAGCUAGCCCAGGCACGACAAUUCUAUUCGUGGAUAGUGUUGGGCUAGACCAGUACUGUCCAUUGGAUCGUGCUGGGCCAUGAGUGGUGGCCCAUUGUACCGGCCAUGGCCCGCCCAUAACUCCCCUCCCAUACCAAUUUUACCCCCUCCCAGGGAUGACAAUGGGGUGGGUUUACGAUAGUCACCUGACUCACCUCCAUCCCAACUUCAUCCAAUUUAUUUAUAUAUAUUCUUAUCUCCACAAAAAAAAAAAAAAGAUAAAUAAAAUAAACAAGGCAGAGGCAGAAUAGGGUUGUGUAUAGGGUGUAAGAAAUUUUCAUACCCUCCUUGUCCAACACAGUUUAUAUUUUUAAUACUUUUUUAUUUCUAAAAUUUUAAAUUUUAUUAAACAUAAAUAUAAUUUAUAAAUAAAAAAUAUUAUAAACAUUUAUAAUUUAUUUUUAUAAAAAAUAAUAUUUUACUUAUGUUUAAAAAGUUGAAAAAUAAAAAAAAAAUCAAUUAAAAUAAUUUUUUAUUUAAAAUUAUAUAUAAUCAAGACGGGAUGGGAUGAAAUAAAUUCAUGCUCGAACUCAUCUUAAAUUUUUAAAAACUUUCUAAAUUCUGAACUUGUAUAUCUUUAUCAUAAACCUUUUUCAUUGGGGGCACGUUUUUCCAAAUUCUCAUAUUGCUCCAUUGUCAUUCCUAUUUAGGGAUGGCAACGGGGCGGGUUUUUUCGGGUACCCGCCCUGCCCUGCCCCUAAUGGGACAGGGUUUAAAUUUAAUAAACAGGUUUUUAACGGGUAUGGGAAUUUUUUUUUAAACCCGGGGCGGGUUCGGGUAUUGCCCCAUCCCGCCCCGCCCCGCCCCGUUUACAUAUAAAAUCAAUUUUAAAAUUUAAUUUAAUUUAAAUUUUAAAAUUUAAUUUAUUUUACUAUUUUUAAUAUAUAGAUAAUAAUAAAAAAAAUUAAUAAAAUAAGUUAUAAAAAAUAUAAUAAUUUUAUUAUUUAUAAAUAUAUUUAUUUUAAUGUAAUUAAAAAUUUAAAAAGUAAAUUAAAAAAAAAAAAAAAGGAGGCUAAACGGGACGGGGCGGGGCGGGGCGGGGCGGGUUUGGGAAUUUCCCAUACCCGUCCCACCCCGUUUAAUUUUUUAAACGGGACGGGGAUGGGAAUUAUUUUUAAUAAACGGGGCGGGGUUGGGAUGGGGGCGACCCGUCCCGAAUCCGCCCCGUUGCCAUUCCUAUCCCUAUUUCAUACAUUUGUAUAAAGAUUAAUUUGUGAAAGCAUUUUGAUAAAUUAAUCAAAUUUAUUUAUUUAUUUAUGAUAGUGAAAUGACCAACAAACCCUCUCGAACGUUCAAAUAAUAACCCGAUUGUGAUGGAAUUGAUUCUAUAAGGUUUGGUUGCAUCCUCAAUAUAAUGUAUUACUAUAGAGAAGGUUUCCUUCAAUAUAAUGUAUUAAUUGUGUAGGUCUAUUUUAUCAUAAAUUAUUUAAUCCUUUUGGUAUGUGUAUACUGCAAUCAAAUAAGAAGAAAACAUGUCACCUUCUCAGUUCAUAGAGCAAGGAUUUAUAACACCUGACUAUUUGGGCUUCAGCCUGCACCCAUCGAUAGGGGCAUAGCCCAACCUAAACCUAUAACUAUCGUGAUCUAGCUCUGCCCAUGAAGUGUGGCACCCAUAGGCCUUUUGGCUAGAGUCUGUAGGCCUAUGCUUGUGUGUAGGCUAAGUAAAAAUAAAUACUUGAGAGUGAGAGUUGAAGCCCAGCUUGAAUGCAAAAUGUGGUCAGCCUUUUUAAACAAUUUUAAAAAUACAAAGAUUUGAAUAUAAUUGUUCGUGUGUUUAAUACCUAUGCAAGACAGUAAGAAUAGGCUGCAUUUGUUGCAUUUAAUCAUUUCACUCUAAGUAUGAUUUCAUUUGUUAUCUCUUUCACGCAUGGUUGUUCAUGAUCACUUGAUGUGAGAUGAUAUUGUUGAUAUGUCUUAUCAUGGUGACUAAAACUAUUAACCUACUCUGUUGACCUUAAUACGUUUUAUUGGUCAACUUUAAUCUUUCUUAUUGUUUUAUUAUUAUUAUUAUUAUUAUUUAUCAAUUAUCAUGAAAAACUACAAGUAAAAAAAAAAAAUUCAUUAUAUCAAAAAAUUUGCAUAAUAGAGUUGUGAAUAAUUAUAGUAAAAUUCAGUCUAAUUCCUUUGCUAUCAUUAUAAACUCCAAAAAAAAAAUUAUAAUUAUAAUUUUAUUAUAUAUAUUGUACCGUGAGCUUUUUAGAUAAGAUCAAAUAGAAUUCGGAUCACCAAAUUCUAAAAACAUCAAUUUAUAAUAAUUGAAUGUGAAUUAAAAAUUCACAAAUUAAAACUAAUGUGAUAACGAGUUUGAUUGUAUUUGAAAGUAUGAAAAACUCUUUGCCAAGUAAAUGGAGCUCAACAAAUAACGUUAAGCAGCUCAAAGCAUAAAUAAUUCAUUAUUAUUAUUAUUUUACCCUAAUAUGAAAGACUUGAUUUAUGCUUAUCCUACUUCCAUUUGCUAGAUUUAAUCAUUCACAAUAAGUGCUUUUUCAUUUGUUGUCACUUUCACGCAUGAUUGUUAAGCACUAAAUUCGAGAUGAUAUUUUUUAUAUGUCCUAUUCCCGGUAACCAAAACUAUUAUCCUAUUUUCUUGACUGUAAUCUCUUUUAGUGGUCAACUUUAAUCUCUCUCCUUAUUUAUUUAUUUUUUAGUUAUUUAUCAUUUGUCACCAAUUUAAUGAAUUACAAUUGUUUCAUAAUCUAAUUUUGACAUCAAGUCAUGAUAAAGUGAAUGCGAGCUAGAGAUUCACAAAUUUAAAUGAAAUAAUUAUAAUUUAAGGCUAUUUAAAGCAAAUAAUAGAUCUAACAUUUACAUAUUUAAUAUAAUUGAUGCUAAAGAUAUGAAGUAUAUAAAAAAAAUAACCUUUAAAGAAAUCAAUAAAAGUGAAUAUGCUUGUAGGUCUCAUUUUUAUAAUUCUUUGACUUUUAUAUUUUUUUUUCCCUUUUCUUUACUUAAUCUUUUACUCUCCCCUUUUGAUAUCUAAGUGUCACAUUUAUUUUACUUUUUAAAUUUCUUUUCUAAAAAUAUUUUAAUAUUUUUUCAUUUAUCUUUUUAUUAAAAAAAUUUUGAAAAAUGAAAGCACAAUAGACAUAUUAAUAGACUUUUAGUUAUAUUUUUUUAAUCUUUAAUUUAAUUUAAUUUUUAUAUUUUAUAAUUGAAUAAGUUAAAUUUUAAGUAAAAACAAAUAUUUUCCAUAAUUUAAAUUUAUUUUUAGUUUUUUUAUUUUCUUAUUUUAUUUUCUUAUUAAUAAUAUAACAUCUUAGUAAUGUUGUUGAAAGUAAUUAAUAAAACUUUCAUUAAAAUUUAAUAUUAAUAAUAAUAUUUUUACAAUUUAAUUUUCAUAUAUUUGAAAGAGAGUAAUAAUUCUUUUUUUUAUAUAGAUUUUUGACAUAAAUUUUAGAAUUUUCAUACAGUAUAUAUUGUUAUUAUAUGAAAUAAAAAAUCAUGUUGAAAUCAUUUAAUUUUUUUUUAAAAUUUCAUUUUAAAUUAUAUUUUAAAAAAUAAUUUAAAGUUUUAUAUUGAAAUAAAUUUUUUAAAUCAAAAUUUUAUUUUGCAGGUGGGUUUAAUUUAUUCAUCUUCAUUAUUUUUAAAAAUAAAUCACUAGAGAAUCAAAAUCUCCACAAAAAUAUAUAUAUAUAAAAAGGUACAUUGUAAAUGAUACAACAUAGUCAUAUAAUAUAAAUUGAUUUUAUUCAAUUUCCAUGUACUUUGGAUAUUUUUGGUAUUGAGAGAAAAUCAUAUCCUUCAAUUUAAUUAUAAAUAUUUAUUAACCUUUAAUUUGAAUUUUACACCUUAUAUAGACCUUAGGCUUAAUAUUAAUUUUAUCUAUCCCUAAAGCAUAAUCUCGUUUUAUUGUAUUUAAAAGCGGAAAACCCUUUGUUGAAUAAGCGGGAACCGAUGAAUAGCAUUAGAAAAGUGCACCUCAAACUGUUCAUUUGCUAGAUCUAAUCAUUUCACUCUAAAUGCUUUUUCAUUUAUUAUUGCUUUCAUUAAUGGUUGUUCAUCACUUAAUAUGAUAUGAUAUUAUUGAUAUACGCCUUAGUCAUUUCUGGUGGCUACUUUAAUCUCUCAGUAAUUGAUCAUUUAUUUUAUGCUAUUUAUUAUAUUUACACUUUUUCAUUUAUUUUUCUGAGGAGACCCGUUAUACACGUGGAAAAAGCUUGUCCAUAUGUAUAUAUGAGAUGGUGACAGCCACCUUUAUCCAUUUAAUAAUAGCAGAGAAAGAUAAUGCAUGCAUGCGGGUGUGGUACGUGAAGUUAGUAGAACGGUGGCUAAUGUUUUGACUGGUAGGAUGCUAUGAAGAGUUGGUAAAUUCCCUGUGAAAGCAUGCAUGUCUGGCAAGAAAGCGAUGACGCCCCACAUCACAUUCCCCUCUGCAUAUAAUGAUAGAAGGCCCAAGUGUUUCUUGCAUCAUUACUUCUUGGUUUAUUAGAAUUGUUACUGAAAGCUGGAAAGAUUCAAGGCUGGUAAGUUCCAUCAAGUCUUCUAGUGGAAGUCAGAUUGGAUUUUGAAACAAAUACAGCAAUUUUAAGACAGGACAAUUCAAAAAGUAUUUCCAAGUCCAUAUCAGAAAUUUAAUUAAAAAUUGUCUUAUAUUUCCAAGUCGGUGAGCGAAAUUUAAUUAGAAAAUCAACUACAGAUUUAAUAUCAAGUCUACAUUUGGUGAAGACGUAUUUCACAAAAUUCAUUCUAAUGUGCAACCCACUUAUUCCAUAUAUCAUAUAUUAAAUUUUAUUAUAAGUCCCCAAAUUAUCAACUAUUUAUAUAUAUAUAUAUAUUUCUUAAUAUUUUUUUUAAUUUUCUUUUUUUUUUUUUAUAGAAAAAUAAUGUUUUUAACUCUUUAAUCUCAGGAAACAUAAUAAAAACGUCAUAUAUGUAUGAAAAAUGUUUGUGAUAUUCGACAAUAAAUAUGAAAAAAAAAAAAGUAAAAUCAUAAAGACCAUUUUGAAUGAAAGUAGACAUUAAUUUUUUAAAGGAAAUCUUUUAAGAAAAUAAUUUUUCUCUAACAAAAAGUCAUGAUAUAUAAAUUUAGUGCAAACACAAUACUAAAAUACCUGGACGUUGUGCUUUAUCUCCCUUGUUCAGCACAAGGGUUUCACAUAAAACUUUUCUUUUUUUCUAAAAAAAUUAUAUCUAAAUUAUUUUUAACAUGAGUAAAAAUGAAAAUAUAAGAUAUGGAUGUUUAUGUGGCGGGGCACGUUACUUUAACGAGUACUUUUGAAGGAACUCUAGAUUUUUUUUUAUUUAGAAAAAGAUGGUAAGCUUUAUUGCAAAGCCAAUAAUGAUAGACACAUGGCAAAUGCAUUAUCCAUCUAGGAUGUGACAUGACAUUAACUUCUGUUCUAACAGGUGGCAUGCUUUGAAUGGAGACUUGAUGAACCGGAGAAAGCUGAUGGCACCACAGAGGAUCUAUACCCACUCCCAUCCCCUCUAUUUAAUGGAGAAGUCGCAAGUGUUUUGUUGCACCACUGCCUGAGCUCCUCUUCCACUUCCUUGGUUCUCAGUUUGGUUCCUGAGAAUUCUCACUAGAAAGUAGGAAUUAGGGAAACAUGGGUCUAGUAGGUAAGCUUCAGGCUGAAACUCUCAUCGUGGCUCCUGCUGAUAAGUUCCAUGAAAUGUUCUCGUGCAGACCACACCACAUCUCUAAUGUCUGUCCUGAAAAGAUUCAGAAAGUUAAUCUGCAUGAGGGUGAAUGGGGCACUUCCGGCUAUGUUAUCGAGUGGAACUAUAAUAUCGGUAAGCCAAUUCCCAACCCACACCCACCUCUAUAUUCGCAGUACUUAAACUUUAUCUCUAUAUAUUAAGUUCAUAGUAUAUCUACCUCGAACAUCUAUAUUUUUUUUUAGAACUUCAUAUUUUAAUAUAUUUUAAUUUAAUUAUUUAUUAAAUAAAAAAGGAAAGUGUAAUAUUAUUAAAUACUUAUAGAUUAUUACCACUUUGCCCAUUGAUUGGUACCAUUGGUUGCCUUUGUUUACUAUCUUUAUUUGUUUGUUCCUUGAUUAGCUUUUCUACAAAGAUCAUCGAAUUGUUAAAUAGAUUAGGGUUUUUUUUUUUUUUUGGAAUAGUUUCUUGUUAUUAAAGAAAAUAGUUUUGUAAUUUUAAAAACUUGAUUGACAAAUUUUGUUUAAAAAUAGUAAUUUAAAAAUUUGUUCUAAAAACAUGAAUAAAUUUAAAGAUUUUUUCAUAUAUUUUCUAUAAAUUUUUCUGAGAAUUAAUUACAUGAGUAUAAAGUGUUUUCAUAAACAUAAUAAUAAUAAUAAUAAUAAUAAUAAUAAUAAAAGAUCAAGAGAAACAUUAUUCAUAUUUGAGUUUGUCAAAAAAAAAAAAAUCGUAAGAAUAAUUAAGAUAUACUUUUAAAAUCUAUUUUCAAAUUUUUUUCGAAAGUACCACUAAACAAGCCUUUAGUAAAAUUAAAUUUGAUGGUUUUAGUUGUACAUUGACCAAAUUCACAAAUAUUUACUCCAUUAUUAAUUUUCUUACUGAAGUAAAAAAAAAAAAAAAGGAAUAUCUUUCUUUUUUUCAACUCCAAUUUAUUGAAUUACUCAACAUAUUUUUGAAUAAAAUAUAGUGUAUGAGUUCUCCUAGUUUGAUAAUAUAUUGAAAAACAUAAUUCGUUAUCAAAUCAUUUUUUUUUCCAAAACUAUUAAUUUUAACAAAGUACGAUUUUUUUAAUUGGUUUUUUUUUUUUUCCAUGGAAUCAAAGAUGGGAAUGAUCAUGUAGCCAAACAGAUUGUAGAAAUUACAGAUGGGGAAAACAAAUCUAUCACUUAUAAAUUCAUUGAAGGAGAUCUCCUGAAGAAAUACAAAAGCUUCAUAAUCGUAGUUCAAACAAUUCCAAAGGGUGAUGCCACUUGGGUGCAUUGGACUUUAGAGUAUGAGAAAUUAAACAAAGAUAUCCCGACUCCAAUUAAAGAGCUUGAAUUUUUAGUUCUUGUUGGCGAGGGUGUUGAUGAUCAUCUUGUCCAAGCAUAGACACCAGAGACAUAUGAUAUGGUAAUGUUGUGUACAAGUAUGAGAAAAGUUUGAAAGUUUUAAUUGCUUCUUGUCCUAUAAAUAAUGUUAUAUAUGAUGCAUAAUAUGUGGUACUUUGGUGAUUUGUUGGAUUGUGGGAGGGUUUCUAAGCAAACCUUUGUACUAGGUGUUUCUCUUAUUGUACCCAAAAUAAGGCCACAAUUUAUGUGGCUCUAUAUAUAAAGUUCCAUAUUAUAUAAUUGGAAGUUGUGAAUUUACAUAUUGAACGGUAAGUAAAUAUUUGGCUUAAUUUGUUUGAUUAUUGGUCCACGCACAUUUUUUUUCAUAUAAUAUGCAUGCUUAUCUUAUGAUCAAGUAACCUAUUGAAAUCAGCUCCUCCUUAAUUUACAAAGAGUCUUAUUAUAAUUUAUCUCUCCAUACUUCAAAUGUUAAUGAUGAUUAGGAUGGUUGCACAAUGGUUUUGAAACCUUAGCCUCAUGCAUCCACAUGUAAAAUAUCAAAACAAAAGUGAUUAUGCUUCUUUAAUUAUUUGGUUAUAUAUUCCUUAAUUAAAGAAUGUUCUAAUUAUUCAAUCAUGUUUUAAAUAAUUUAUUUUUGGUUAUUAUAAUUUCUUGUUUUCAAUAUUCCCACACCUUCCUUCAGUAGGGAACGAAAUUAAAAAGCAUACUAUAAAUUUCUCCUAGUAUAGUUUCAAUGUCUUGAAGAAGGGUUCAUGGCUCUUUUGGCCUUAAUAGUUAUUUUGAAUCUUUCAAUAACGGAACAUGUAAUGUAAUGUCCAAUAAAAUUAAAUGAUUAAAAAAAAGGUAUAUUUAAAAAAUUAAAAAAUUGUCAAUCAUGCUAAGCAUCUUGGAUUUGAAUGAUAGCUAUCCUAGCUUUAAUGUGGGGGCGGUGAUGGGAGAAAGGUCACGAUGGGAGGUGAGGCUAUAGAUGGAUCUAUUGUACCAUGAAAGAACUCCACGUGGCAGUGGUGACGUGUGUUAUUAGGGGUCCACAUCAACAAUGUACCGGUAGGAUGAGACAUCCACAGUGGACCGAUAUCAUGUGGUAUCUUUGUUUUAUAAGGUCUGACUAGGCCAAUUUUUCUUGUAGUUGAAGAAAAUCAAACAACCCAGUCAACAAGUAGACUUUAGAUAUGCAGUAGCCACACCCACAAUGUGUCUUGUACUUGAUCAUGGCAAUAAUUUAAAUUAUGUUAUUAAAUAUGUUUGAUAAAACAAUUUAAUGAUAUGAUUUAAAGUCAAAAAUAAAUUUAAAUAAUAAAUAAAAAUAAUUAAUUUAUUCUUAAAUUCAUAUCUUCAUUUUAUGUUUUUACCCUCAUUUACUUUAAUUACUUUUAUAAUCUUCUUUAUUAUUUCACGAUUUUCAUUAUUAUUUGAUAUUUUUUAUUCUACUUAUAAUUUAUAAGGAUAAAUAUGUUAAUUUGAUAAUAUAAAAUAAGUUUUAAAUUAAUUUUAUUAAACAAUCUUUAUAUUUAAAGUAAUAAUUAAAUAAUAAUUUUUAAUUUAAUAACUUAAAUAUAAUUUAACUUAAAAUCAACUUAAAGUAUUAACUAAUAAUGAUUAAAUUUUACCAAACAUUUCCAUAUUAUUGUGAUUAAGGGUUUUCUAAUAUGAAAUGAGUCAUUUCUUUUUCCAAUUCCUCUUCUACCACUUUAUUUUGUGGACAAUCUUGAAAUUUGUGUUUAUUGGUCAUGUUUUAAUCAAUUUGUAUUUGAUUAUUGUAAUUUCUUUAUCUCAAUUAAUAUUCCCACACCUUCUUUCAGUAGGAAACCAAAGAAGCAUAUGAUAAGUUUCCCUUAGAAAGUUCUUUGAAUCUUUCUAUAAUAGAAUAUAUGUGAGAUUUACUUAUAAAACAUUUUAUUUUUUAUUUUAGCAUUUUAUUACCUUAAAACAUUUUGAAUUAGCACAAACUAAAAGAACAAGUCUUCAAGCUAUAUUUAUGAAAAAUUAGUAAAUAAUCAAGUAACUAUUGUUGUUUUUUAUUUUAAUAAUAAACAUGUAGUUUUUAUAAAUACUGAAGUGUAAUGCAAAUUUUCCAAAAAAAAAAAAUUCAAAAUUUUUGUAAUAUAAUAAGAUUAAAAUUUUGUUAUGCAUGUGUGGACCUCGCAUUUCAGCUCAUGUGUUUCCCACUCGAUAGUGAAACUCGCUGUUUAUUUGAAAAAAAUGAUUUUUAUUGAUUAUGAAAAUGACUUGGAGUCGCCACUUAUUUUUGUUUUAUUUUUAAAAGAGUAAACAAAAUAAGAAAGAAAAACCCUAAGUGUGACUCCUUAUUUGGAAAAGGUGAUCUACGAAAAACCGGAUCGGGUUCGGGGGUUAGGUUACUUAUCGGGAAGGUACGGUAAAGACCGUAGCACCUCUUUAAGUCCCUAAAGUCGGGUCUCUACUAAUAAAAUGAAGCAAUCAUGACAAUUGAUGAGGGAAUCAAUGAAUACUCAGAGUGAUCAUGCACAUGUGAGAAUCUAAACAUGCGUACAGAAAAUGACCCGAGCGAGUGUGGAUGCAUACCUGGGCAAUGAUCCAUAAAGCGCUAUCAAAAAGUGAGGUUAGCGCACAAUUAAAGAAUAAUUUCGAGCAUGUCAUAGAGCAGAAUAAAAUCGAUCAUGUAUGGAAAUUAAAUCAAACAAACAAUCAAUCAAUCAUAAGGAAAUCACAUAUGUUGGGUCCCCCACCAAAGCCCGAUUGAUCUUGCAUGAAUUAAUCUCACAAAUUCCAUUAUUUUAUAAUUAUGAAAAUUCAUUAUUCUUGCUUAUGUAAAACCAAGAAAAACAUAAGGUUUGAGAAUCGGAGUAGAAUUAAAAUUGUUCAAGUGAAAAUUGGAUUUUUGGAAUUUAUUUGAAAAUUGGAGUUUUGGGAAUUAAAUUUGAAAUUUGGAAUUUUGGGAAUUAAAUUUAAGAAAUUGAAAAACUUAAAAUUAUUUGAGAAGCAAAAAUUGUGAAAGUUAAAUUUAAGAAUUUAAGUUUUGAAAAUUAAAUUUAAAAGAAAUUGAGAUUUUAAAAAUUAUUUGAGAGUUGGAAUUUUGAAAAUUAAACUUAAGAAUUAAAAUCUUUUUUUUAAAAAAAACUUAAAUUUGGGAAUUGAAACCUUAGAAAAUUAUUUGGGAAUGGAAGUUAUAAAGAUUAAACUUAGGAAAUAAAACUUUAGAAAAUUAACAAUAUGAAAGUGAAUUGAUAUCAAAACAUGAAGAAUAACAAUGAUAAUAAAAAAUAAAUAAAUAAAAACGUGGUGGUUGAAUGGUUUUACCAAGACAAUGUACCCUUUGACCAAAAAAUGAUGGAUUAAAAGCAUGGCGUUUUGGGUUGCAUGGAAUAAAGGUGGGCACGUGUCUUAAGCCAACUUUUGUGUCUUUUCAGCAUUCAUCCAUUUAAAAGGGCCACGGCAGUACAUGACUUCUGCUCCAGUUCAUGUUAUAUAGGCUUUGCAGCUAGCAUACAAGCUACUUUGGUGACUUGUGUUCCGAGCUCCUUGGACUCAAAAAAAAUGGUGGUAAAUGGACCCUUCACCACCUACCUCAGCCUGCUCUCUGUUUCUCUCUUUCCUCCAGAUUUUUUUCUCAGCUNNNNNNNNNNNNNNNNNNNNNNNNNNNNNNNNNNNNNNNNNNNNNNNNNNNNNNNNNNNNNNNNNNNNNNNNNNNNNNNNNNNNNNNNNNNNNNNNNNNNNNNNNNNNNNNNNNNNNNNNNNNNNNNNNNNNNNNNNNNNNNNNNNNNNNNNNNNNNNNNNNNNNNNNNNNNNNNNNNNNNNNNNNNNNNNNNNNNNNNNNNNNNNNNNNNNNNNNNNNNNNNNNNNNNNNNNNNNNNNNNNNNNNNNNNNUGAUAUUAUAAGUAACUUUUUAUUUCUCUAGUCACUAUUUAGGGAUGAAAUGAUUGUUACCAUGUACCACAAAUGAAUUUCUAUAUGUAAAAUCAUUUUGUCCCCCAUCAUUUGAGGUUUUCGUUGUGCAUUUUUUUUUUCAAUAUCAAAUAAUUUUGUCUCUCAUUAUCAUUUUUUUAAUCUUAAAAUGCUUUAUAAUGAAAUAAUUUCAUUACUCAUUAUUUAUUUAUUACAACAAAUCUAAGAUGUUGAAAGAUAAUUUAGAGAAGGUUCAACACCAUAUGAAGCAACAAGCUACAUUGUUCUGAAAGAUCCUUUGAGGUGGGGAAUAUAGUGUAUCUUCAUUUCCAAUCAUAUUGAUAAUUUUUUGUUGCAUUCCACAAAAACAAGAAGUUUUCUCCUUGAUUCUAUGGGCAUUUUCAAGUUCUCACUGACAUUGGAUUCAUUACUUAUUAUUUGACAUUAGUUCCUCCAAAAUUCACCUUGUUUUUUUAUGCUUCCUAUCUAAAAAAGAAGAUUGGUCAACAAUUAGUUGUAGAACCCAACCGCCACGAGUUAACAAUGAUGAACAAGUCUUAUUUGAGCCCUUCACAAUUCUAGAUCAUUGUGUUUUUAAGCAUGACAACUACCCCAAAACUCAAUAUUAGUUCACUAAUCCAAUUCCUUUCUAAGGGAUGCCAUAUGGGAAGAUUGAGAACCACUUAAUUGCCGCUUUCCUCACUUCAAACCUUGAGGACAAGGUUUUUUCAAAGGGAGGAGAAUGUUAUAUACCUUUCAAAGUAAAUUAAGGGAAGGAUUUGAGAAUCGGCUGACCAUCCUCAAUUUAAGAUGUUUCAAUUAUGAAGAUAAAUAACGUCAGGAUUACUAAGAUUGUGGGCAUGAAAUGCUAUAUAUUUUUUUAUUUAAUAAAUAUUAUAAGUGAAAGUGAAAAUCAUCUUAUUGAAGUUUUUUUUUUCUAGAAUUUUUAAAAAUAAAGUCCUAUCAACUUGUUUUUCUUCUUUCGGGGUUGUAUUAGAGGGUGAGAGAGAAAGAUAAAAAGGGUUAGAGUCGAUGAGAGAAAUUUAAUUAGAAAAUGUCUUUUGAAAAGACAAGUUUAAGUUAUCCAUUAAAAUACAACUUUUAAUUAAUAGUUUCAAAAAUAUGAUAAAUUUGAAAAUAAUUUUAAAUUUUAAUAAGUAAAUAUAUUUUUAAAAAUAGUACGUUUUUUAAAAUCCCCUAGUCAAGAUUAGGUGUCCAAAUCCAUGCUCAGAAAAGAUUCACAAAAGUUGAUUUACAUGGGGCAGCUAGUGUGGUCAUGGCUCUUAAUAGUCAACUACAGAGAUCUACAUUUGGUGAAGCAGUCUUUCACAAAAUUCAUUCUAAUAUGCAACUUGCAUAUGCCAUAUAUCACAUAUUGAAUUUUAUCGGUCCCCAAACUAUCAACUAUUUAUAUCAUGUAUACCUCUAUAUAUAUAUAUGGUGAUCCGAAGUCCUUUUUGGUCCGACCUAAAACCCCUUUGCUACCACCAUAGAUCCCGUUUGAGGUGUGGGAGCUUCAGCCCCGUGGUAUGGACAUGCUUUGUUUAUUAUAUAUUUAAUUUUUUUUCCUUUUAUUUAUGAAAAAAAAAUAAUGUUUUUCACUUCUCAUUUUCAUAAGAUACAAUGAGAAUGUUGUAUCUAUAUAGAAGGUAUUUAUGAUGUCUUACAUUGAAUUGAAAAAAUAAAAAUUAACAGUAUAUAAAUAUGAAAUUUUCUUAAUCUUAUAAACAUAUUUUAAAGUCAUAAAGUUCCUUUUGAACUAGAACAAAUAUUGGUCUUUGUUACAUUUAAAUUUAAUUAUAAAGUGAUAAAAUUUAUUCCUGUAAGGAAAUCUUCUAAAAGGAUAAUUUUUCUCUAACAAAAAGUCAUGAUGCAAAUCCGGUGCGAACACAAUGACUAAAGACUAAAAUACCUGGACCUCAUGCUUUAUGUCCCUUGUUUAGCUCAAGGGUUUCACAUAAAACUUUUUUUCUUUUCUAAAAAAAUUAUAUCUAAAUUAUUUUUAACAUGAGUAAAAAUGAAAAUAUAAAAUAUGGAUGUUUAUGUGAUGGGGUGGUAACCUUUAUUGCAAAGGCAAUAAUCAUUGACAAGAAAUAUAACAUUUAGAUUACUUUCAAAAUUUAUGUUCAAAUUAGUUAUUUUAUUGUCAUAUAAGAGUCAUGUUAGAAUUUUUAUUUUCUCAAAAUUUAAGUUGCAACCUCAAUUAUCAAUUGAGGCUUCAAUUAUUUUAUUUUAUUUACUUUAAAAUUUAAUUAAAAAUGUUAAAUUAUAAAUUAUUAUUGAAUUUAAAAAUAUACAUUUUAAUAAUAAAAAAUUAUAUAUUUAAACUUAAAGAUAUAAUAUUACUUUAAUAAAGAUAAAUUAAUAAAUAUAAUAAUAAAUGAAUAUUUUAUUUAUCAAUAAAUUAAUAAUCUUGGAAUAAUAAAGUUAUACAAUAUAUAAAUAAGAUAUAAAAUUAUAUAAUUUAUUAAUUUAAGAUAUUUAAUUUAUUGUAUUUUUAAGAUAUUAAUUUAUUUGUAUUUUUACAAAUUUAUCUUUAUUGAAACAAUAGUAUAUUCUUAAGUUUUCAUAUAUAGAUUUUUUAUUAUUUUAAAGUAUAUACUUAUAGUUUAAUUAAAAAAAAAACUAUUAUUUGUACACACAAUAUGUAUGCCUUAAAGAUACAUUUUGAAAUUAGUUAAUAAAAUUAAUUAGAAAAAUUUUACUACAAAAUGUAAUUUUUAGGAGUUUCAUCAAAGUUACAAAAAAUACUCAUUAAACAUUUAUAUAGUGAAAAAAAAAAAAAAAAACCUCCCCUCCCUAAUUAUAGCAAGUAUUACAUGUGAUAUAACUUAAAUUAAUAAAUUAUAUAAUUUUAUAUCUUAAAAAUACAAUAAAUUAAAUAUAUUAAAUUAAUAAAUUAUAUAAUUGUAUAUCUUAUUUAUAUGUCAUAUACCUUUAUUAUUUUAAGAUCAUUUAUUUAUUAAUAAAUAAAUAUUCAUUUAUUAUUAUAUUUAUCAAUUCAUCUUUAUUGAAGUAAUAUUAAAUUUUUAAGUUUAAAUAUAUAAAUUUUUAUUAUUAAAGUAUAUAUUUUUAAUUUUAAUAAUAAUUUACAAUUUAAUAUUUUUAAUUAAAUUUUAAAAUAAAAAAUUUAAUUAAAACCUCAAUUACCAAUUGAGACUUUAGUUAAAAAAUAAAGCUCCUAUCGAUACUUGAGGCUUUACUUCAAUAUUGAAGUCUUAGUUUAUAAGGCUUCAACUUAAAUAUAUAUAUUUUUUUAAAUUAUGAAAUAACUUGUGACAAAAAAAAAAGACUCGUUCAAAAAUAAGUUUUAAAAGGGGUUAAAGCUUAUAUUUUUUUUACAUAAAAUGACUAUUUUGCCCCCAAAACUCCAAGACACAUGGCAAUGCAUUAUCCAUCUAGGAUGUGGCAUGACAUUAACUUUUGUUCUAACAGGUGGACGCUUUGAAUGGAGACUUGAUGAAGUGGAGAAAGCUGAUGGCACCACAGAGGAUCCAUACCCACUCCCAUCCCCUCUGUAUUCAAUGGCGAAGUCCCAAGUGUUUUGUUGCACCACUGCCUAAGCGCCUCUUCUACUUCCUUGGUUCUCAGUUUGUUUCCUGAGAAUUCUCACUAGAAAGUAGGAAUUAGGGAGACAUGGGUCUAGUAGGUAGGCUUGAGGCUGAAAUUCUGAUCCUGGCUCCUGCUGAUAAGUUUCAUGAGGUUUUGACCUGCACGAAGGUGACUGGGGCAAUGUCGGCUCUGUCAUCGAGUGGAGCUACGUUAUCGGUAAGCCAACUCCCACUCCACACCACCUCUAUCCACUCAACAUUGUGUAUAUUUUUGCAAAAAUGCUCUACAUCAUGAAAUAAUAUGCUCUUUUUAUAAUAUGUUUUUAUUUGGACAAGUGAUUCAUAAACGCAUAUUCACUGCAUAUAAUCCGUAUUUUUGUAGCACAGAUUCCACAUCCUACAUACUUUCAUAUAUCCUUGUAUAAGGUAAAAUGGUAACAAUUUAUUUAAUAAUAAUUUUAGAAAGUGUUUAUAACCUUUUAACAUCUAAAAUUUUUUUUCAUUCAAAUAUUUAAAAGAUUAUAAAUAUUUUCUAAAAUUACUAUCAAACUCACUCUAAUUAUUUCAUUUGUAUAUCUUAUAAUUACUAAGAGAAUCAAUAACAAGACACAAAAUAGAAAUAAUAAAAUAUAUUAUAUUUAUUACUCAUAAUUUAUAAAAAUAUUAAUUAAAAUGAAUUUUUAUUACCAUACCUUGAAUUUUAUGCCUUUCAUUUAUUAUAUCUGUUUUGUGUCUUACUAUUUAUCCUUUCAUUUAUUAUAUCUAAUUAAAUGAUAUCCAUUUUGUGUCUUACUAUUUAUCAUUUCAUUUAUUAUAUCUAAUUCGUGUCUUACUAUUUUUUUUUGGUCAUUCCAUAUUCUAUCAUCAUUUCCCUUUGUAGAUACCACUUUCAUUAUACAAUAAUUUAAGUUUGAAUAUAACAUAUUUCUCUUUGUAUUUUACUAUAUACUCAUUUAAUAUUAAAAAUAAAUAAAUUAUAACUAUUUUUUAAAAAAAAAAUUUCUUAUUGCAUGAUUAAAUCUAAAAUAAACUUGGUAUAUAUUAUUAGCCUUUACAUAAUUGGCUAAAUUAAUUGAUAGUUUAACAUGAAUUAAAGAUUUACUUAAAAAGUAUUAUAUAUAGUCAUAGAUGAUUUCAAGUUAAUAUUUAGUUUUAAUAGAUAUGGGUUGUAGUCUUGUAGAUUGAGAAUUUUUUUUUCACCAUUUUUGAACAUAAUUGAAGUAUCAUUCAAAACAUAUUUUUUGAAAAAUAAUUUCAUCAUUAGCUAAAUAUUUUUGCACACUCAAAAUUAAGGAUAAAAGAAAGGUUUUUUUUAAACAUUUAAUUGGGUCGGAGAUGAUUGCUUCCACUGUAACACAUAAUCUCUUAAAUUAUGAGUAUAAAUGAAAAUAAUUUAUAAAUAUUAUUUUUUAAACUAAAAGUAAUAGAUAGGGUUUGUUUGGUGAUUAUUUUCGAAAAUAAAUCUGAAAAACAGUUAUGAAAAAAAUAUAUUUAAAAAUUAUUAUAUAAUGUUAUGUAAAACAAAAAUCUCUAAAAUAUUUUUAAAUAUAUUUUAAAAAUAGUUUUUACAUCUAAUGUUUUAUUUUUAAUUAUUCUACAUGUUUAUAUAAUUAUUUUUAAAAUAAUUCUUAGAAAACAAAGAAAAAUAAUAGAAAAUGAUUCAAAGAUAUUUUCAUAAAAUAGAAAAUAGUUUUUUUUAUUAUCAAAUGUGUUUUCCUAUUAUUUUUGUUUUGAAGAACAAAAAAACUAUUAUUAAAAACAAUUAUCAAAUAGGCACCUAAUUUUUUUUAAUGGUUUUUAAUUCUUAAAUAAUUAUUUAAAAAUAUAUAAAAAUAAGAAUGAAGAUGCAAUUUGAAUUAUCAAAAAUCGUAAUGAAAAUUUGGAUUGUUAGAUGUUGAUAUAAAUAAACUUAAAAUAUAAAAAUGGGUUCAACUAUAAAAUAAUGAGAUAGAAUACAAAACAUGAAUUCUAAAGUUUAAAUGUAAUUAUUAUUUUCAUUAAUAUGUUUCUUGAUAGAUGUCAAUUGUUUUUAACUUUUUACUUUUUUGAUAAGUCUCAAUUUAGAAUUGAAGGCUCGAUUUGGCAGCGGACCGGAAUCUUAAUUAGACUGCACCCAUAAGCCAAAACAAAAAUCUCUAGUGACAUUAUUAGACUUGGAUUUGGCAAGAUUUUCCUCAAGAUUUGUCCAUUAAAAUUUUUGUCCUUUUUUUUUCUACUACCUUUCAAUAUGAUUUGAUGGAAAGCUAACUGAUUCGACUGGUAUUCAAUUAUAAUAUGUGACAUAAGUCAUUACCAACUACCCAUUCAGAUGGUCUCUUAAUUUAAAUUUCAUGAAUAUUAAUGUAAUAGUUUUUCAUUCAAAGGUCGCAUCCUUCUUUUUUACAUUCAGUUGUCUUUUUACCAGGAAAGUCAAUAUGAUAUUUCAAAAGUAGUUAGCAGUAGAACCACAUGGGCCUGACACGUGUACACAUGUACACCAUGAGUAACUAUUCUUCAUAUUCAAUUGUCCUUAAUCAAAAAAUAAUUUUGCCCACAAUCAUAAAGUAUUCAUAAAUAGGUUUUAAUCAUUAAAUUUGGUUGUUUGGGGGUGGGAGUAAUAUAAUCAACGUUGAAUUUUAUAAUUUGAUAGUAUCUUUAAAAAUUGACCUACUUGCGUAGGACUAGCACUUUUCAUAAUCACACUAAUUUCAAUUGAGUACAAUUCUUCUAAUUAUAUUAUUUUUAUAUGAAACUAAAGAUAGAAAAAAUCAUAUUGCUAAGGACAUUGUGAAAGUCAUAGCAAAGGAAAAUAAAAGUUACUUUUAAAGUCAUUGAAGGAGAUAUCUUGAAGGAAUACAAAUCCUCCAACGCUAACGUCCAAGCUAUUUCAAAAGGUGAAUCCACCUGGGUGCAUUGGACUUUUCAGUAUGAGAAACUCAACAAAAAAAUCCAUGUUCCUGUUAAAUUGCUUGGAUUAGUAAUUCAUCUUAAUGAAAAAAUUAAUGACCACCUUGUUCAAACAUAGACAUAAAAUGUCAUAGUUUGAUACUAUUUGAUGGUUUUUCGUAUAAAUAAUGUUAAUAUCGUAUGUCGUGUGAGAUGAAUGAGUUAUAGCUCAACCAUAUUUUAGUCAUUUAAAGAGUAAAUUAAUUAUAAUUAUUUUAUAAUUAAAUAUAAAAAUUUAUUUUAAUUGAUUAUCAAAAAUAUAAAAAUUAUCAUGAUAAUUUUCUUCAUAGUGUUUUUAAUAUCAUUAAUAAUUAAUUAAAUAUUAAAAAAUUGUACAUAUAUCACAAUUUAUUUUAUAUUAUUUAAUAUAAUUGAAUUAAAUGAAUUAUAAUUUUAAUAUUAAUAUAUAUUUUAAAAUUAGACAUAUUAUAAUCAAAUAUCAUAAUAUUAUUAUGAAAUAAUAUUUGAUGUAAUUUAAUAAUAAAUGUACACUUAUAAAAUUCAUAUUUUUAUCAAUGUAUACGAUAUUAUUAUCAAAUAUGAUAAAUCAUAUUAUACAUAUAUCAAAUUAUUUAAUAAAAAAAUUUUAAAAUAUCAUUAUAUUUCUAAUUAUAUUUUUAUGAAGUUUUUCUUAUAUUUUUAUAAAUUUUGGUUAAUUUUAGAUUUAUCGAUAUUUUUUUUUCCAAAAUAUCCGUUGAUAUAUCUCCGAUAUAUCCGUAAAAUUAAAGUAUCGAUAUAUUUGUGAUUACUGAUAUUUUCAUCCUUGUAUAUAUCACACUGCGAAUUUUUCAGGUCAGACAAAAUAGAAUUCAGGUUAUCAAACUCUAAAAACAUCAAUUCAUAAUGAUUGAACAUGAGCGAGAGAUUCACAAAUUAAAACUAAUGUGAUGACAAGUUUGAUUGUAUUUGAAAGCAUGAAAAACUCUUUGCCAAGUAUACGGAGCCCAAUGAAUAACAUUAAGAAAGAUGUAACUCAAAGCAUAAAUAAUUCAUUAUUAUUAUUAUUAUUUAUACCCUAAGAUAGAAGACUUGAUUAAUGCUCAUCCUACUUGCAUUUGCUAGAUCUAAUCAUUUCACAAUAAGUGCUUUUUCAUUAGUUGUUAAACAUUAAAUUUGAGAUGAUGAUAUGUUUGAUAUGUCCCAUUCACGCUAACCAAAAUUAUUACCCUAUUCUCCUUUAAUAUCUCUUACUAGUCAACUUUAAUCUCUCUCCUUGUUUAUUUUUUUAGUUAUUUAUUAUUUGUCACCAAUUAAAAUGAAUUAUCAUUGUUUCAUAAUCUAAUUUUGACAUCAAUUCAUGAUAUGUGAAUGCGAGCUAGAAAUUCAUAAAUUUAAAUGGAAUGAUUAUGAUUUAAGAUUAGUUAAAGCAAAUAAUGGACCUAAUGUUUACAUAUUUAGUAUAAUUGAUGCUAAGGAUAUGAAGUAUAAAAAACAAAAAUAACCUUAAAAGAAAUUAAUAAAAGUAAAUAUGCUUGUAGGUCUCAUUCUUAUAAUCAUUUGCCUUUUACCUUUUCGUUCUCAUUUUCUUUACUCACUCUUUUACUCUCCCCUUUUGAUUUCCAAAUGUCACGUUUAUUUUACUUUUUUAAUUUCAUUUCUAAAAAUAUUUUAAUAUUUUUUUCAUAUCUCUUUUUAUUAAAAAAAUUUGAAAAAUGAAAGUACAAUAGAUAUAUUAAUAGUCUUUUAGUUAUAUCUUUUUAAUCUUUAAUUUAAUUUAAUUUUUAUAUUUUAUAAUUGAAUAAGUUAAAUUUUAAGUAAAAACAAAUAUUUUAUAUAAUUUAAAUUUAUUUUUAUUUAUUUUUAAUUUUACUAUUUUAUUUUAUUAUUAAUAAUAUAACAUCUUAGUAAUGUUGUUGAAAGUAAUUAAUAAAACUUUUAUUAAAAUUUAAUAUUAAUAAUAGCAUUUUUACAAUUUAAUUUUCAUAUAUUUAAAAAAGAGCAAUAACUUUUUUGUUUUGGAUUUUUUUACAUAUAUUUUAGAAUUUUCAUACGUAUAUGUUGUUAUUACAUGAAAUAAAAAAUCAUGUUGAAAUCAUUUAAUUUUUUUUAAUAUUUUUAUUUUUAAAAAUAAUUUAAAGUUAUACAUUGAAAUAAACUUUUUAAAUCAAAAUUUUACUUUGCAAGUGGGUUUAAUUUAUUUAUCUUCAUCAUUUAAAAAAAUAAAUCACGGGAGAAACUAAAAGCCCAAACAAAAAAAUUACAAGAAGAUGUAUUGCAAAUGAUACAAGUCAUAUAGUAUAAAUUGAUUUUAUAUAAUUGUGGACCCCGCAUUUUCGCUCAUGCUUCUUCCAUUCGAUGGUGAACUCAAUUUUUAUUUGAAAAUGAUUUUAUUUAUUAAAAUAAUGACUUGAAGUCGCCACUUAUUUUUGUUUUAUUUUUAAAAGGGUAAAUAAAAUAAGAAAGAAAACCCUAAGUGUGACUCCUUAUUUUGGAAAAGGUGGUCUGUGAAAAACCGGAUCAAGCUCGGGGGUCAGGUUACUUAUCAGGAAGGUAUGGUAAAGACCGUAACACCCCUCUAAGUCCUUAAAGUCGGGUCUCUACUAAUAAAAUGAAGCUGACGUGACAAUCAAUGGAUACUCAAAUCGACCAUGCACACGUGAGAAUCAAAAUAUGCAUAGAGAAUGAUCGAAGUGGGAAGGGAUGCGUACCUGGGCCACGAACGAGCAAUGCGCUAUCAUAAAAAUGGAGUCAGUGUAUAAUAAAGAGCACAAAACAUAUUACAUGCGUCACCAAAUAGAAAUUAAAAACAGUUUGAGGGAAAACUGGAUUUUUGAAAUUUAUUUGAAAAUUGGAGUCUUAGAGAUUAUUUGAAAAUUGGAAUUUUAGGAAUUAAAUACAAGAAUGAGAAUUUUAGAAAUUAAAUUCUAAAGGAAUUGAAAUUUCGGAAAACUAAAUUUGGGAAUCGGGAUUUUGAAGAAUUAUUUAAAGACGAAAUUUUAAUAAACGAAUGAGUGAAUAAAUAAAUGAAUGAAAUAAUAAUAAUGAUGAAAUUAAUCAUUAAACAACUGAAUGUGAAUAGUAGAAUUUCUGAUAUUGAAAAUUAAAUUUGAAAAACGGAAUUUUGAAAAAUUGAACUUUAAUUAUUGGAAUUUGUAAAAUAAAAGAAUGGAAUAAUAAUAAUAAUAAUAAUGAGAAUAAUAUUUAAACGAAUGAAUGUGAAUAGUGAAAUCUAGAUUGAAAGUUUGAAGAGUUAUUUAGAAAUGAGAUUUUAAAUAAAAGAAUAAGUGAAUAGAUAAACGAAUGGAAUAAUAGUAAUAAUGAUUAGGUAAAUAAUUGUGAAAAUUGGGAAGUGAACUUGGGAAUUGGAAAAUUGAAGAAUUAUUUAGAGAUGGAAUGUCGGAAAAUUAAAUUUCAAAAACUGGGAACCCGAAAAAUUAUUUUAAGGACGGAACGCCGGAAAAUUAAAUUUUGAAAAUUGGAAACCCGAAAAAUUAUUAACGAUGAAAUGUCGGAAAAUUAAAUUUCGAAAAGUGGAAACCCGAAAAAUUAUUUUAAGGAUGGAACGCCGGAAAAUUAAAUUUCAAAAAUUAGAAACCCGAAAAAUUAUUAAAGAUGGAAUGUCGGAAAAUUAAAUUUCAAAAAAGUGGAAACCCAAAAAAUUACUUUAAGGAUGGAAUGCCGGAAAAUUAAAUUUCAAAAAUUAGAAACCCGAAAAAUUAUUAAGGAUGGAAUGUCGGAAAAUUAAAUUUCGAAAAGUGGAAACCCGAAAAAUUAUUUUAAGGAUGGAACGUCGAAAAAUUAAAUUUCGAAAAUUUGAAACCCGAAAAAUUAUUAAGGAUGGAAUGUAGGAAAAUUAAAUUUCGAAAAGUGGAAACCCGAAAAAUUAUUUUAAGGAUGGAACACGGGAAAAUUAAAUUUCGAAAAUUAGAAACCUGAAAAAUUAUUUUAAGGACGGAACGCCGGAAAAUUAAAUUUCGAAAAUUGGAAACCCGAAAAAUUAUUAAGGAUGGAAUGUUGAAAAAUUAAAUUUCGAAAAGUGGAAACCCGAAAAAUUAUUUUAAGGGCGGAACACCGGAAAAUUAAAUUUCAAAAAUCAUAAACCCGAAAAAUUAUUUUAAAGAUGGAAUGCCGGAAAAUUAAAUUUCAAAAAUUAGAAACCCGAAAAAUUAUUAAGGAUGAAAUUUUAAAAAUAAAUAAAAUAAUUUAAGUUUGGGAGGUCAAAGUUGUGAAAACUAUAUAUAUAUAUAUAUAUAUAUAUAUAUAUAUAUAUAUAUAUUAAUAGGAGUUUUUUUUUAAUAAUUAAAUUAAAAAUAAAAUUUUGAAAAUGAGUCUUUGGCAUCAAAAGUUGGAAAAACUAAGAAAAUGAUAAAAAUAGGAAUGGCCUUAGCAUGACAAACAGGCGUGCACUUAAGAAAAGCAAACAAACAAAUAAUAAUAAUAAAAAAAAAUGCCACAAACCCAUAGAAACCCAUUUUCCCAUCAACACGUGGGCCUCAAAUGCAAGUGAAUGAACUCGUGUGACUCACUAAAUCUAUUUGCAACAGCCUUUGCCAAUCUUCUGUCACCCACAAUGGUCAACAGCAACGCAAAUAAUUGGAUUAUAAAGGAUUCAAGGCUUUUUUUUUCUUCUGCACCAUCAAAGUCAUAUCUUCCCUCAUGAGGAUCAUCUGCACCUCCAACUGAUAGCGGUUCAUACACUCUUAAAGAUGAUACAAAUGUCUGCCACAAAGGUCCUUAUUCUCCAUAAUAGCUCUCUAGAUAUUUCAUGACACCUCAAUGUAUUUUCACUGUUAUUGCCUCGGGUUCAUGAAGAGGUUAUAAUGGGUCGGUAGGAUUCAGGGCGACUAAGAGGGAUGAAAAUACAAGAUGUUCAGUCGGUGUCUAGGUGCUGCUAUUCAUGCCAAUGGGAAAAUCAGUGCUCUGUAAUGAUGCCGUUUAGUGAGGAAACCCAUUGAACGUUUCUUCAAACCAUGAUCUAUUCUCACCAUAUUGGCUGCCAAAAAAAAGAAUAACGCUGACGAAGCCGGAGUGUUGAAUCAUCUGAAGUCUUUUCUAUUCAGUUCUGUUCUUCCAUGUCAUCUAAACCUUGUGAACAUAUACCCUUGCAAAAGUUCGUAGUCAAACCCAGAUUUCCUCUCUCACAGUUCAUGCACUGAACAUGGUCCAAGAACAAGGAAUAGCCACAACAAAGAAGAAAUCAUGGAAACAGAGCAUGAAAAAUAAGAGAUGAAAAUAUCCUCAAAUGAGACUUCAUUCGUGGGUCAUCCGUGAGCCCUCUGACUAGAUGAGAAGAACAAUAUCAAAUGCAAAUAUUGGCAUGAUUUUUGGGGCAUUUCGCAACAGAGAUAAGACAUGCUCAGAUUAACAAUGCCAAACAUGAAUGCACGGUUAUAUCUCAAUAAGCAACAAGUCGCCUUCAUUAUCCACUCCAAACAAAUAUCCAAAAUAUCAAUAAGAAAAUGCAGAGGGAUAGCAAGAAUCCGAAACAAACCAUAGCCUGUUGCAUUCAUGGGAUAGCAAGAAUCCGAAUCAAACCAUAGCCUGUUGCAUUCAUACCUGAGGAAGUCUUUUCCAGCGAGACCAGCAGGACUCCAAGCUUUUCUCCAGAAAAUCCGUCCGCUACCCUGCUUUUUUUUUUUUUCCAAGCUUCCUCUUCCAACUGGUCCCUAUCCCCUUCCUCCUUACCCUGUUCCUAUCUUCUUUGGCAAGCUACUACUUGCCCUACUGUUCCUCACAUCAGCAGCAUGGCCCUCCAAUCACCAGCAUGGCCCCUGCCAUCUCCAUGCCAGUCCACCAUGCAGCUCGUCUCAUGUGUCGGGAAGGGGCCCCCCACUUGCCUAGGGUGCUGCCAGCUGCUAGUGAUGAGAAGGCACCCUUCCAAUGUUAUAAAAACCUUUAAAAAAACUAAAAGUCCCCCGGCUCUUCAAAGGGGGUCUACAAUAAUUUUCAUGUCCUUUGGAUAUUUUUGGUAUUACGAAAAAAUCAUAUCCUUUAAUUUAAUAUGAGAUGAUAGUAUUGAUAUACGAUUCAUGCAUGGUGGCCAAAAUUAUUGAUCCACUCUGUUGACUUUAAUCUCUCAUUAAUUGAUCAUUUAUUUUAUGCUAUUAUUAUAUUUUCACAUUUUCAUUUAUUUUUAUGAGAGGAGACCCGUUGUACACGUGGAGAAAGCUUGUCCAAAUGUAUAUAUAAGAUGGUGACAGCCACCUUUAUCCAUUCAAUAAUAACACAGAAAGAUAAUGCAUGCAUUCGGGUGUGGUACGUGAAGUCUGAAAGGUAGCUAAUGUUUUGACGGGUAGGAUGCUAUGAAGAGUUGGUAAAUUCCCGGUGAAAGCAUGCAUGUCUGGCAAGAAAGCGAUGACUCCCCACAUCACAUUCCCCUCUGCAUAUAAUGAUAGAAGGCCCAAGUGUUUCUUGCACCACUACUUCUUGGUUUCUUAGAAUUGUUACUGGCAGGUAGCUCAAUCAAGUCUUCCAGUGGAAGCCAGAUAGGAUUUUAAAAUAAAUACAGCAAAUUUAAGACAUGAUAAUUCAAAAAGUAUUUCCAAGUCCAUAAGAGACAUUUAAUUAGAAAUUAUCUUAUAUUUUCAGGACAGAAAUUUAAUUAGAAAAUAUCUUUUGAAAAGACAAGUUGAAUUUAUCCUUUAAAAUAUAAUUUUUAAAUAUGACUUUUAAUUAAUAGUUUAAAAAAUGUGAUAGAUUUGAAAAUGAUUUUAAAAUUAUAUAUAUAUAAAUAAAUAGUAUGUUUUUUAAAAAUGCCCAAAUAUUAUAUGAAAGAUAUUUGUGCAUAUCGAAUAUGAGAGAAAAUAAAAGGUGAGAAAUCUUUUAAACCAAAAUAAAUAUUAAUUUUUGGAGGAAAUCUUUUAGAAGAAUAAUUUUUUCUCUAAUAAAAACUCAUGAUAUACAAAUCUACUACAAACACAAUCACUAAAGACUAAAAUACCUAGACCUUGUGCUGUUAUCUCCCUUGUUCAGCACCAGAGUUUCACAUAAAACCUUUUUUUUUUUUUUUUUCUAAAAUAAGUUAUAUCUAAAUUAUUUUUAACAUGAGUAAAAAUGAAAAUAUAAAAUAGGGAUCUUUACGUGGCGGGGACACGUUACUUGAACGAGGGCAUUUAAAGGAAAUCUAGAUUUAAAAAGAAAAAAAAUGGUAAACUUGAUCGCAAAGGCAAUAAUGAUAGACACAUGGCAAUGCAUUAUCCAUCUAGGAUGUGACAUGACAUUAACUUUUGUUCUAACAGGUGGGAUGCUUUAAAUGGAGACUUGAUGAAGUGAAGAAAGCUGAUGGCACCACAGAGGAUCAAUACCCACUCCCAUCCCCUGUGUAUUUAAUGGUGAAGUCCCAAGUGUUUGCUGCACCACUGCCUAAGCGCCUCUUCCACUUCCUUGGUUCUCAGUUUGUUUCCUGAGAAUUCUCACUAGAAAGUAGGAAUUAGGGAGACAUGGGUCUAGUAGGUAAGCUUGAAGCUGAAAUUCUGAUCCUGGCUCCUGCUGAUAAGUUUCAUGAGGUUUGGGGAGGCAGGCCUCACCACAUGUCCAGUGUCUCCCCUGGAAAGAUUCAGAAAGUUGACCUGCACGAGGGUGACUGGGGCACUGUCGGCUCUGUCAUCGAGUGGAGCUACGUUAUUGGUAAGCCAACUCUCACUCCACACCACCUCUAUCCACUCAACAUUAUGUAUAUUUUUGCAAAAAUGCUUUACAUCAUGAAAUAAUCUGCUCUUUUUAUAAUAUGUUUUUAUUUGGACAAGUGAUUCAUAAACGCAUAUUCGCCUUGUUAGCAUCACUUGUAUAUAAUCCGCAUUUUUGAAGCACAAAUUCUACGUUCUACUUUCAUAUAUACUUGUAUUCAUUUUAAGAAUUAUUUUUAAUAUUUAUAAUACCUAAAAAAAUUUAUCAUUUAAGUAUUUAAAAAAUUAAAAAUAUUUUUUAAAAUCAAUAUCGAACACAUUUUAAGUUUUUACUCUAUAUAUCUUACAAUUAUUAAAGAAAUAAAUAUAGGGACAUGUAAUAAAAAUAAUAAAGAGGAUUAAUAUUUAACUAUUCUUAAUUUAUAAAAUAAUAUUAUUUCAAAUGGAUUUUUAUUAUUAUACGUCGUAUUUUCGCAUAUACCACUUUUAUGAUAUAAUAAUUUAAGUUUGAAAUAAAAUAUAUUUCUUUUUGUACUUUACUAUAUACUCAUUUAAUAUUAAAAAAAUAAAUCAUAACUAAUUUUUUUAAAAUUUUCUUAUUGCAUGAUUAAAAUAAAAAUAAAUUUGGUAUAUAUUAUUAGCCUUUACCUAAUUAGUUAAAUUAAUUGAUAGUUUAACAUGAAUUAAAGAUUUACUUAAGAAAUAUUACACAUGAUUAUAUAUACAUACUCAUCGAUGAUUUCAAGUUAAUAUUUAAUUUUUACUUGAUGGAUAUGGGUUGUAGUCUUGUAGAUUGGCAAAAAAAUUUCACCAUUUUUUACAUAAUUGAAGUAUUAUUCAAAAAAAUAUUUUUUGAAGAAUAAUUUCAUCAUUAGCUUAAUAUUUUUUUACACUCAAAAGGAUAAAAGAAAGGUACUUUUUUAACAUUUAAUUGGCGUUGGAGAUGAUUGCUUCCUCACUAACACAUAAUGUCUUAAAUUAUGAGCAUAAAUGAACAUAAUUUAUUAAUAUUAUUUUUUAAACUAAAAGUAAUAGUUAGGGUUUGUUUGGUGAUUACUUUUUUAAAAAAAAAUCUUAAAAAUAGUUUUUAAAAAUAUUUUGUAAAACAAAAAUCUAUUUGGAAAUUUAAAAUAUUUGUACAUAUAUUUUAAAAAUAAUUUUUACGUUUAAUGUUUUAUUUUUAAUUAUUUUACAUAUUUAUAUAAUUAUUUUUAAAACAGUUUUAAAAAAAAAAUAUGGAAAAGACAUUUUUAUAAAAUAGAAAAUAAUUUUUUAUCAUUAAAUGUGUUUUUUUCUUAUUUUUUUUGCUCUAAAGAACAAAAAAAAUUGUUCUUGAGAACGAUUACCAAAUAAAUACCCAAUUUUUUAUUAUUAUUUUUAAUUCCUAAAUAGUCAUUUUUAAAAAAAUAUAAAAAUAAGAAUGAAGAUGCUUAUAAAAAAUAGUAAUGAAAAAUUGGACGGUGAUGAUAUAAAUAAAUAAAACAUAUAAAUAAACUUAAAAUAUAAAAAUUGGUUCAACUAUAAAAUAAUGAGAUUAAAUACAAAACAUGAAUUCUAAAGUUUAAAUGUAAUCACUAUUUUUAUUAAUAUGUUUCUCGGUAGAUGUCAAUUGUUUUUAACUUUUUACUUUUUGAUAAGUCUCAAUUAAGCAUUGAAGGCUCGAUUUGGCAGCGGGCCUGAAUUUUAAUUGGACUGCACCCAUAAACCAAAACAAAAAACUCUAGUGGCAUUAUUAGACUUGGAUUUGGCAAUAUUUUCCUUAAGAUUUGUCCAUUAAAAUUUUUGUCCCUUUUUUUUUAUUGGUGCCUUUUAGUAAUGAUAGGAUGGAAAAUUGACUGGUUUGACGAGUAUUCAAUUAUGACAUGUGACAUAAGUCAUUGCCAACUACCCAUUCACAUGGUCUCUUAAUUUGAAUUUCAUGAGUAUUAAUGUAAUGGUUUUUCAAACAAAUGUCGUUUUCUUCAUUUUUAUAUUAUACCAGGAAGUUAAUAUGAUAAUUCAAAAGUAGUUAGCACUUAGCAGUACAACCACAUGGGCCUUGACACUUGGUGCAACCCCUACACCAUGGGUCACCCUUCUUCCUUUUCAAUUGUCAUUGAUCAAAAACUAAUUUUGCCGACCAUGAUGAAGUACAUCUACCAUUGAAUUUUGCAAUUUGAUAGUAUGUUAAAAAAUUGACUUUACUUGCGUAAGACUAGCACUUUUCCUAAACACACUAAUUUCAAUGAAAUACAAUUCCUCUAAUUAGAUUACUUUUGUUUGAAACCAAAGAUGGGAAAAAUCAUGUUGCUAAGGAGAUUGUGGAAGCUAUAGACAAGGAAAAUAAAGCGGUUACAUUUAAAGUCAUUGAAGGAGAUCUCUUGAAGGAAUACAAAUCCUUCAAAGCUAUUGUCCAAACUAUUUCAAAAGGUGAAACCACUUGGGUGCGUUGGACUUUCGAGUAUGAGAAGCUCAACAAAGAAAUCUCUACUCCUGUUAAAUUGCUUGGAUUUGUAAUUCAUAUGAAUGAAGAACUAGAUGACCACCUUAUUCAGGCAUAAACAUAAGUUGUCAUAGUUUGGUGCUACUUGAUGGUUUCUCAUAUAAAUAAUGUUAAUAUUGUGUGUCAUGUGUGAGAUGAAUGAUCUAUAGCUCAAUCGUGUUUUAGUCAUGUAUUCAAGUGUGGGAAGGUUUCUAGUUUUUGAAAUAUUUUAUUAUUACAAAUUGUUUAUUUGCUUACCAUUUAGUGAGAGAAAAGUUUGGUUUGGUUUGUCUAUUGGUUCACUACAUCAUUUGUUUUUGUUGAGAUAUUUAUCUUAUGAUCAAGUAAUCCAUUUUUAUAGUUACCUUAUAAAACAUUUGUUUGUAAUUUAUUGACCUUUUGAAAGGUAUACGAGUCACCAUGUUUCAAGGGUUGACAUUAACGUGGGUGCAUCAUGGUUUUGCAAAUCUUAACCUUGUUGUAAUAAAAGUGAUUCCACUUCAUUAUCAUAUUGAAUUUAAUAAACAAUUGUAAUAAACAAUUGAGUUAACAUGCCAACUAUGUUAAUUUUUUUUCCCUCAUAAAAUUUGAGUUGAACAUACUUCAAGUGCAAAUCCAAUUUGAAGAUGAGGAACUCAAAAAAAAAAAAAAAAAAGUCAUUCUUUUUUUUAAUAUGCAAUUUGAAUCAGAAAUUCUAACCCUGCCCUCUUCCUUUUUCAACUCAAAUUUAGUUUUUUUUUUUUUUGAAAUUUGUGUUAGAAAUAUUAUAAAUGUAACUCAAAUUUAAAAUCAAGGAACACAAAUAUAUAUAAAAUUAAAGCUUCAACCUACGUGUUUCAAUUAGUAAUAGGUAGGAUGGGCGCAUGAUACCUUUGCAGCCACUAAGCCUCAUGGAGCUAUAUCAUGGCGAGUAGGCUAGGCGGGGCCGAGCUUGCCCACUACCCAGCAUUGUUCGGGACAUGUCGGGCUAGCCCAGGCACGACAAUUCUAUCACAAGAUAAUGUUGUGCUAGAACAGUAUUGUCCAUUAAAACGUGUUGGGCCAUGAGUGGUGGCCCAUUGUACCAGCCAUGGCCCGCCCGUCAACUCCCCUCCCAUACCAAUUUUACCCCUCUCAACUCACCUCUAUCUCAAUACUAUCCCAACGGCAGAGUGAGUAGAGUCGAUAGUAUGUAGGAAAUUCUCAUACCUUUCUUGUGAUGUCCCGUUUACAUUUUUGAAAUUUAAUUUAAUUUUAUUAAACAUAAAUAUAAUUUAUAAAUAUUUAUAAUUUAAUUUUUUGAAAAGUAAUAUUUAAUUUAUAUUUAAAAAAUUGAAAAAUAAAAAAAAUCAUUUAAAAUUAUAUAUAAUCAGGAUGGAAUGGUGUGAUACAAAAUCAUACCUGAAUCUAUUUCAGGUUUUUAAAAACUUUCUAAAUUCGAUUCAAAAUCGUUUAUCUUUAUCCUAAACCCUUUUUAUUAGGGAACAAAUUUUUUCAAAUACUCAGUCUCAUUGUUAUCCAUAUCUCAUACAUUCGCAUAAGGACUAAUUUGUGAGAGUAUUUUGAUAAACUAAUAAAAUUCAUUUUUUUUUAUGAUAGUUAAAUGACCAAAACACCCUUUCCAACGUUCAAAUAAUGACCCAUUGUGAUGAUAUUUUGUUAGAUUAACAAAAAUUCAUUUUUAUUAAUAAAUUUUUCAUGCAUAGGUUUUGAAAACCUUGAAUGUACACUCUCUCUCUCAUUUUUCCUUUUUUUUUUUUCACACUAUUCUCUCACAAUUACAAUUACUUUAAAAAUACAAUUUAACCUCAAUUUCAAGUCACUAAAUUUUUGUAGAAACAAAAAUUUUCUACAAGCUACAUAGAAAUGCACAUUUGGACAACUUUAGGUAUUUAUAUUUAAUUAUUUUAAAUUAUUUUUUUCUUAAUCUCCCCUUUACUUUUCUUUAAAUUAAAAAUGGACCUUAGCAACCUAGACUUUGAAAACCUUGAAUUUAGAAUUGAUGAACAUUUUGAAUUUGAUAAAUUUAGAAUCAAAUAUACCCAACUCAAUUGGUGCCAUCCUCCUAACUCUUCUAGGUGAUGCCACGAUGAUUCUUGGCAUGCGCAUCUACAAGAUAGAGUUAAAGACAAAGUUAAUUUUACAUAUAAUCAAUAUAUAUGAGGAAAUUGGUGCAAUGUUUUGACAUGAUUGAACAAUCAAAACUAGGAAGUACCUUAUUUGCGUCUCAUUUCAAGUUUAGUAUAACUUUAUCUCCUAACUCAAAUGUAGAACAUCAGUCUAAGUCAUGAGUUAUUUACUCUAAUGUAGUAAGUAGCUUGAUAUGCACUAUGGUGUGUACAAGAUCAAAUAUUUCACAAGUUACUAGUUUGAUUAGCAAGUACACGCAUGAUCUUGGUAAAAUACAUUAAUAUGUUGUGAAAUGAAUUUUGUCAUGCAUUAUGCAUACUUUAGAUCUUGGUGUGGUUUUUCAAUGAGAUGAUGAUCUUGAUAAAUGUGUGGUAAUCGGUUAUGUUGAUCAAUUUCAAGUUUUGUAUUACUCUUGUUAGAGGACUAGUAAGUAGGAAGUAUACUUUACAAUCUACAAUUGCUUUGUCAACUACAAAUAGAAGAGAGUAUAUUGCAUUGGCUGAAGUUGUUAAGGAAUCAAUUUUGUUACAUAAACUGCUUGAAAACUUGGAAGUUAUACAAAAACAUAUUAGUGCAUGUUGUGAUAGUCAAAGUACUCCAUAGUUAGCUAAAAACCAAAUUUAUUGAACACAUAAAUCAUAUUGAUGUUUAGUUUCAAUAUGCAUGAAAUUGUUAAUGAAGGAAAGAUCUGUAUUUAGACAAUUGAGUUUGCUAGUAAUCUUUACAUAUAUAAUGACCAAGAUAGUGAUAACAAUCAAGUUUAAGUAUUGUUUGAACUUGGUUAGUAUCUUGUAAGUUUGAGCACCUUUGAGUAUAUAACAAGUUGAAUCUAAAUUUUUUUUUUUAAAAAUAACAAUAAUAACAAAGAAAGGAAAGAAAAAGAAAUUAAAGGGUUUAAAAAACAUAAAAUUUGAAACCUAAAACAAAAGCAAGUAAAUUCAACAGUGGAGGCAAUGAGUACAUUGCACCUCCUGAAAUUUAGUUAAAAAUAUAGUAGGUAAUGGGAAUUAAACCCAUAACCUUAAGUUUUUUGGUAAUCAGCUAUCUUACUACUAGACUAUAUUAAAAUUUUGAUGUUAUUCUAUCCUCUCUUGAAUAAAUUCCAUAUAAUGUUCCUUAACCAUUUUCCUGCCUUCGACCCUACAAGUAAUGGACUUCAUUGUUCUUGAAAAACUCUUUUGAAGGGUUUUUAAAUACAAUGUAGAAAUGUCACACCAUUUACCAAAGCUAACGAGUAAUAAAAAAAAUUAAAAUGAGAAAAAAAACUUUAUUUAUUUAUUUAUUAAUUUCUACAUAUUUCAAUUGAGAAGUGGUUUUGAAAUUGAUCAUUUUCGUAUCUAAAAUCAAUUAAAGGUGGAAAUAUUCAUGUUGCCAAGGAUGUCGUGGAGGAUAUAGAUGAAGAAAACAAGUCCAUCACUUUCAAAGUCAUUGAUAUGGUUGAGCAAGGACAACAUGAAAAUGCCAUAUUGUAGAUUACUAAUACACCUACUUGCCAUUUUAUUCUAUUUAAGCUUAUUUAUGGAACAGUGACUCUAAGCCCAGAAACCACGAAACUCAGCUGAGCUCAACCACUUGUUGGUACUAGAAACACCCAAAUGGCCAAUAUGCCUUUUGCCUGGCGAAGAAGAACCCUCAAGUCAAUUUUUCUUGGCUAUGAACAAUCCCCACCUCUGUUCACCCGAUGAGCUCCUGUUCAGUUUUGAUUUCCAUCCACCAACAAUCUCGUUAUAGUCCUCCUAAGAUUAUUCCACGGCCAAGGAAAUGAGAGGGAGUUAGAACUCAAUUACCAAUGAUGGAAAGAAAGGAUGCCACAAAUAAAUCACAGAAGGAAAAAAAAAUUUACAGAACCCACUUCAGAAAAGUCUUGAAUGAAUUCGUCUUUGUUCUUCUCAACAGCAUCCAUUUCCCUUUGCAACACUUUGAUGAACUGAAACAUGGUGAAAACAACUUGUAUUAACUUAUGAAUAUAAAUGGUGAAACAACCAACAGAGAGAAUAUGAAUGAGAGCAGAACUUAUUUGGACCUGUUCUGUUCUGUCCUCUGCGAUAACCUCACAAAAACCAGCAUCUUUGAGCAUCUGGCAGUGGUUCAAAGGGCAGUAAAUUAGAAUAACAUGUGCUAAAAACAAAAGCUUAAUGUGUAAUAUUUUAUGUGACUAUUACCUGACCAUAUGCCUUUACAUCGUGCAGAUCAUAUCCUCUCUGUUCAAUAUACUCUUGGAAUUCUGGUGAUGGAGGUCCUGCUCUUUUACAGUAAUCAGUAAUAAGAACUUUUCCUCCAGGCUUCAGCCACUUGAAGAAGGACUUGAACAACGCGGGCUUGUCCUAAAAAAUUCCACAGCUACCAUCAGAUGGCGGUAUAUGAAGAAAAGGAAAAACCAUAAUUAAUAAUAAAAAAUUUCGGCUAUGUUGGAUGUGCAUGGUCGGAGAUUCAAAAGAUCCUUCAGAGUUGUUUAUCAUGAUUCAUGAAACCGCUGCAAAGGAUGUGAAAAUGACUACCUGUAUGUGAAGAAUGGUAUCACGGCUGUAGAUCACAUCAAAUGUAUUAUCAGGAUACGUUUUCUUGGUGCAAUCAGCAACCUCGAAUUCGACCAGGCAUUUGCGGCCAAUGGCACGUUCAAGAGCAAUGGAGAUCAUAUUUAUUGAUAGAUCGAUACCAACAACCUCAACAUCAAAAUCCUCUGCCAUGUAGAAGUCACCUCCACCGAUGCCACAGCCUACAUCUAGGACCUUUUGGCUAGGCUUAAGGUCCAAUUUUGUCACAAAUUCUUUUGUUGUUUCUGUUCAAAUCAAAUAAGGUAAAGAGAAAUUUAAAUUAGUUGCAGUUAAGAAUGUGAAUAACCUCCAAUGAUUGCGAAAAUUUUGUUUGACUGAAACUGGAAGGGAUCAUAAAAUUGGUCUCUGUAGCAGUGAUUUCAAAAUUCGGAGUCUGAAACUUGAUAUGUGAGCAACAAAAACAAAGGACAAGCAAGUUAUUGUGCUAAAGUUAGGAGAAAACUUGGAAAUUUGUCAUACCAAGUCCCCCUGUACUCACAAAGCCUUCACCAAAGACACGUUCAUAGCGUAAUAUGCCCCUGCAUUUAUACUGUACAUUAUCCAGGAAACGUUGGAACCCCUUGUCAUUUUGCGAAUUAACUUUCUGCCAUAACCAAUAGAUCUGCAUGAUAAAAAACCGAGAAGGCUUAUUUGAAUUUCAGUUGGCAUGAAACCACUUUCAGCUAAACAGCAGUUGAAGUCAUUGCCUGGUUUUGAUUCUUUUUGUUUCUCACAUAAGCUCCAACACAUUUGAAGGUGAUAAGUGAGAAUUCAGAGGAGUUCCCAAAGUCAUCAGACAUAUGGCAUUCCUUAAAGACCUGCAAUGCAACUCAAGGAAGAAAUAUAAAGUAGGUUCUUUUUACGAGUGUUUCAUUGUGUAAUGUUGACUAUGUGAUGGUGUCAAAAUAAAAGACUAACCUUUGUGUAAAAUCUGGGUUCACGAUAGUGUGUCGGGUUCUUUUUCCUUUUAAAAUCACCUGAUUGAUGAAAACAAGACUCUCUAAAGAAGAGAAAACCUCCAACUUUCAACCAUUUAACCAUCCUUUCAGCUAGAUCCUCAACCUGCCGCCCAUACAAAAACAGGGAAGGCACUUCAAAUUAAUGAACAUAAUUGCAUGAUCGAUCGAAGAUCGUGUUCCAGAGGUUGGGGGUGUUAAACACAACCAUGGUUACCACCUCUUUGUCUGAGAGAUACAUUAGUAGCCAAUUUGAGAAAAUCAAGUCGACAGAACCUGGUGAAAUAUCCAGGUCAGGAGAUGUAACAUCAGCACACACGAACUUAGUAUUCUUGAAGCGCCCAUUGAUGACUUCAUUCUGCAGAGUUCCCAUGGUAUUAAGAGAAGAUUCAAGUAUAUACAAGGUGAGAAUUUUCUAUAAAAUUGGUUCGUGUGAGCUGGAAUUAAAUUCACCUCACGGAUCACACUUUCAAUGAAAUCAAUAGCAAGGACUUGACCAGCCUGCUUAGCUAAUUCGCCUGUGAAACGCCCAAUUCCUGCCCCUAGUUCCACGACAUAUUUUCCUUCAAGGGGCGGCAGGAGAGAGAGUAACUGGGAGAAAUUCGAUUAAAUUCAGUUUCAGAAGCUCAUAUUUGUACAGCAAAGAAUUGAGAACCUCAAUGAUAUGAGAUGACAAUGAAUCGCCAUCAAGAAAUAGCUACCAUGCAAAACACUUAUGACCAAUUUCUUCCUUUUUUUUAAUCUGUUUGAAUCGUUAUCAUAUUUCCUUAAUUGGAAAGGUAGCUUUUGGGCUUUGUGCCGCAAGCAAAUUAAUGACAAUGAAGGGAGGGGUUGGCUCUAGCAUGUAUCCGAAGAUAGAACUAACCCCAGGAAGAAAAAAAAGGGGAAAAGGAAAAAAAAAAAUUAUUUCCUUUCUUUGAAAGUGAAAGUCAAUAAUUUACAACAGAACUACCCAAUCCAAUUCCACCUAGUCAAUGUUAUAAGAAAAACUUCCAAUGAAGUCCCCUGUAUAACAUAACGUUUCUCACCUCAGGCCUCUCUUCUUUGUCGAGAUCGGACGCUUGUGAAUCCAGCAUCAUAGCUUCAACAGUCAAUUCUGCGGAGUGUUCCAUCCAGUAGCUCUUUUGAACGUCACGUUCUUCCCCUAUCAAACAACGAGAGCAAAAUUUCCAAUAAAAAAUAAUGUCAUACAAAGAAUGUUUUGUGUCCCCUUGUUCUAAACGUGAUGGAAGCAGACAAAGCUGAAUCAGAAAUCUCACCCAAGGAAGCCAUGGUUGCUGUUCUGCUGCUUCUAGUUUAGUUAAUUUUAUAUGCCCUAUAUGUAUAAUUCAAAGCAAAUGCAUGCUACAAUCCUUGACUGAGCAACAAGGUACACGUGAAUAACACCAACACCCACACACCGACACACGCACACCUCUCACACACCAAGUGCAACCACAGAAAUUGUUAGAACAUUGAUGAUGUGUGAAUGUUUAUAUAGGAAAAUGUAGGUGGGGAUCUACGGCUAUUAUCAUCACACUUUGCUUGUUGGGUUUUGUUAAAAUGAAUCAGGAAGAAGAUCACAGAAUCUGAGUCUGCCAAAAGAGCCAAGUAGCGGCGACCCGUGGCUAUGUGAAAUUAAUAGGCCUAGGCCACGUAUUGCUUGAGACUUGAGAGCGACCCGUUGCCUGAGGCUACAUUUGGACAGCCCUUGCUAUCUUAUUUCCCACUCAAUCUUAUAAUAAAACACAAUAUUCUUUAAAAUUGCACCACAUAUUUUCAUAAUCAAGGAUAUUUGAAUAAAAAUAUAUGGCCUUUGAGGCCAAUGAAGGGAGGGGAUGAAGUACUGAACCAAGGUAGUUGUGGGAUUAUCUUUCGGCGGUUGCAUCAUUGCAUUGCCAAUGGCCUUUGAAAUAUACGAAAACAGCAGCAGUUGUUGAUUGUUUUUUCUUUGGAGUAAUUGUUCUGUUUCCUUGAAACAUCAAGAUUCCAAUUCCUUUUUAAUCAUAACGUCCCCACAUUUAUUAUUAUUGUUAUCAUAUUUAAAUAACAAAAACAAAAAUAAAAAUAUUUACUAUCUCAAAUUUUAAAAUCUUUUAAAAUUAAUAAUUUUGAGAUGUUUUAUUUUUAUUAAAAAGAUUUUUUUUAUUUUAAAAAUAAAAAAUAGAAAGAGAAAAAAAGGAUGUUAAAUAUUUUAAUAGGCCAUUAUGAGAGUCUAAUAAAAGUUUUUGGGACGGGAAAGAGUAUUUUAUUUAGGUGGUUUUCGAAAGAGGAAAAAAUAAUAAUAAUUUACUCCAUAGAGAACGCAUUGUGAAUUGGCUUUAGAUUGUUUUUGUCUCCUUUUGGAGAUAAUGCGUCGUCCAUGGUACAUUCUAUUAAUUAUGCAAUUGGCGUACAUCUCAAAUCCUGCGAAAAAUACAAAGUUGGUAACAUUUUUAUGGAACGUACGCACUGACUCACUGUCCCUGCUUUAAAUAUGAAACCCUAAAGGCUUCAAUAAUGGCACGUAAAAACGGGCCAGGAGCUAAAAUUCGAUCCAUCAUAUCAUUUCCUUUUCUUGGGUCUGGCUGCUUUCUGCUUUUUUGACUUCUUUCAGAGCCAGUCCUCUCCAGGACCACAGAUACAAUGCAUCCAAAGUGAUCCAUACCAUGUAGUGGGAGAUAUGACCGAACACCCCCAAUAUUAUUGAUGCAAGAGGAUUUUUUUCCACAAUAUGCAAAUCUCGCGGAGAUUCGAAAGGUAGCAAAGUUCAUUCACUGUUUUUCUUGCUAAGGCAUUGUCACCCUCUAUCUAUCCCCUUACAAGACGAGUAAAUGUCUAGACUCCUUCAAUACGACGGAUAAAUAUUUUACCCACUCAUACUCCAUGGGGGUGGAUGGGCAAUCAAGGUACGUGCAACCAUAGCAUGAGUUAACAGUAUUCACCAUCUUACCUCUUAUAAGGUAAAUCCACGUGUCAAAGAUCCAUCGAGUAGCCUCUAAUCAUGCAUUUGACAUCCUUACCUUUCGUUCUUCCCUUCUUUCUUUGUUUUGAUCAUCAAAAAGAUCUUCCAAAAAUGCCCAUUUUUGUAGGAAGCCACCAGAGGAGUACUCUUGGAACUGGUCUCUAAACGGAUCAACUCAAUAACCAAUAGAGUUGCAUGUGGGAAAUUUGAAAGAAGCUUUUUUAGAUUAGUUUUGCUCCAAAAAUUACCAUCGUUUAUGGCGGUAGUUAUUAAAAAAUUAUUUCCCUGCGAAAAUGACUCUUAUCGGAAUGAAUGUAAUACAUGGUGGCAGUGAAACUCACCAUUGGAAAAGCAUAUUAGAGCGAUUGGCCGGGGCUCAACUGAGAGGCACGUUAGCUUGAGCCUCACCUCUAAUAUGAGGAGUUGGGACAAACCACAAAUGAACUUCUUUGGUCAUUAUUGAAUAGCAAGUCCUUAGAAUCUAAUCACCUUUUUCAUACUCAAGAUCGACGAUGUUAGUUUGUGUGCAGUGCUAAUACUGGGCCCAAUCAUGUUCUGAGUCGGAAGGAGCGCACCACUUCAAUCAAAAUAGUCUCCAUCAAGGGUCCUAUGGUCUCACCAUUUAUCUUUCCUGAUUUCUUCGAGAUGAUCUAUGUAUUUUAUCUUUUUCAUUAGGUACCAUUUUUUUUUUUUUUAUUGAAAUUGAAUAAUUCCAUUCUACUUUAUCUUAUAACAAAUUUAUAUGGAAAUUUGUUAGCCACUACAAUAAAUAUGAUAUUUGUUGGCUGGUAAGGAAAACAGAAAAACUCAUCAUAAUGUGUAAUUUAUGACAAAAAAAAUUUAUCACAAGAGUAAAAAUUGUAGCCUGUUGAGAAUUAAAAUAUUUAUAAAUAUUAUAUUUUUUUAUUAACAAUUAAAUCAUUGGUAAUAAAAUUGAUAUUACUACAAAAUAAACACAAUUUAUGACUCAAAAUAUUAUCAUAAAAGUUUUUGGUUGCAAGAAAAUUUGAAGUAAAAUACGAAAAUAUAAGGAAAAGAAAAAAAAUUAAAAUUAAUAAAGCCUUAUUCAUUUAGAUUUUUUUUUGUUUUGUUUUCAUUUAUAAAAAAAUAAAAUUAAGUUUACAAACAUGUUUAGACAAUGUUUUUCUAUUUUCAUUUUUUAGAAAUUUGAGUUAAAAAAGAAAGAAAGAAGUGAAAACACUAAUAUGAUAUUUUCAAAAUUUGCCAAAAUUUUCUUAAAAAAAAAAAAGUGAAAACGGUUUUUAAAAAAUUUAGAAACAAAAAGGAAAAUAAAAUGGCAUAAAUAAGGGACUCACAAUAUAAAAGAAACAUAAAGGUUAUAAUUAUAAAAGAAAUAUUAAUAUGAAUAAAAUAUUAUCUCAUGAACUUUUUAAAUCAAAUAUUAUCUUUUAAAUAGGGUAUAAGUAUUUUGUUCUAUAUAUUAAUGUCACAUAUAACAAUAAAUAAAUAAAUAUAUAAUUCACAAAACAAUAUUAUUAUCUUUUAUGAUAAUAUAUCUUAUAGCAUGACUUAUUUAUUAUAUAAUAUUUUAAUUAUACUUCUUUAUAUUAUAUUUUAUACAUACAUAUAUAUAUAUAUAUAAAAGCUUAAAAUCAAACAAGAUUUUAGAUUUUAUUUUAUUUUUAAAAAAAAUCACUUUUUUUUAAUCAAAUUCCUUUUUAAGAAAAAAAGAAACAAAAAAUCAAAAUUGUUUCCAUGAAAUGAAAAUAGAAAAUGAAAACUUUUUUUUUUUUAAAAAAAAAAAGAAAACAUUUUCUUAUUCAAAUAUAAGCUAAAUUAUUUUUAUAUGCUCGAUCAACAUAAGAUUUUUAAUUAAUUUUAAUUAUAUUUAAUUUUCUUUUACAUUUUGUGAUAAAUCAAAUAUAAAAAAAUUAUUUUCUUAAUAUUUUCCCCCUUUCUUAAUAUUUUUCAAAAAUCAAAUAUAGUCUUAAAGUCACCUAAAUCGCACGUAAGUACAUAUUGCAAUGAAUAUCAUUACAUGUAAGUGCAUCUUUUUAAAUGAAAAUUUCAUAAAAUAAAAUCCUUAUCAUUAGAAAUUAAAAACCACUAAUAUAAUUUUUAAAAUAAAAAGGAUGAAAUGCUUAAUACAAAAGUUAGAAACACAGGUAAAAAAAAUAAAUGCUAUAUUAUAUUAAACACUUAAGAAUAAUGAAAUAUUUAAUAUAGAAAUUAAUUAAAUAAAAAAUAAUAUAUUUAUAAAAUCCUUGCUAUUAACAAUUACUUGUACAAUAAAUAAUAUUAUAAGGCAUACAAUAGCAUAUAUUCAUUUCAAAGAAUAUACAGUGAUAAUAUUACAUUUAAAAAUAUACAAUUUUUAAAUAUUUUCUUAAAAAAAAAUUUAAUAAUUAAAUAUUUUAUAAUUUGUAGCAUAAGAUUUACAAUAUUUUUAGUUGGUCAUAGAAAAAAUUUCUCACUCAACCUAAACCUCGUAUAAGAUUCACAAAUAGUGAUAGAAUUAUUAAUUUUUAAUAAAGAAAAAUUUGUUACUUAAUCUUGUAGCGGUUAUAUAGUGCCCAUGAAAAAAGCCACCACAGCGAUUGAUAAUCAUCAUGGGGGGAAAAUGAUAGAAAAUUUUGAACUGCAGUCCACAAUAAAAGCAAAAGUGAAGGUUUCGAUAAGAUAAGACGAACGACAUUGACUUUGGAACAAACAAGGCCAUACAGGAACGAUGUGGGAAUCGUCGUUAACAGACCAUGCGAAGGUAAGCUGGUUGCUAAUUUUGCACUCCAUCUUCUUUCUUAUAUAUAUCCAAGCAGGCUUCAUUCAUUUCUAUGUAUCAUUUUUUUUUUUUUUUAUUCUGUUUAACUUUGGAAGAAUACACAUGCCCACUGUACAUUAUGGUACAACUAAAAUGUUGGAUACAAAAUGCAUGGUAUGUAGUUGUUGCUAGGUUGAGCUUCAUGCUUUGUAUCAACCUCCAAAGGAGAUUUCACUUUAACCUACCUGUCCACUUUUUGCGUACUUAUCGAUCUGAGUGAUGUCAAGACUUUUCUCCAUUCCACUUGCAAUGAGAAACCUGAGAAAAUUUAAUAAAUAUUAGUCAUCGAAGAGAGCAGUAGCUAUAUGAGAUAUGAAAUGUGUGUCAUGGGGCACAAUGUCACAAUAUGGCAUACUUCUCUCUGAGUACUCUUGCCAUGGAUUGGCAGCCACUAGGCACAGAUGAUUGUAUGUUUACUGCAAUAUUUGGGUUGUGAAUGCUCUGCCGAAGGUGUAUCCAACCAUGUUGUCCAUGUUCUUUGUCUGAAACCUUAGCCCUGAAUUUUUAGGAAGGAACAGGUUUCAGAACAAAAUAAUUCAAAAGGAAAUAACACAGUAUGAUUUUCCAUUUUGGUUCAUAUUUCACCUGUACAUGUAAGCAUCAAUGGCAGCUGGCGUGUCGUUCAAAUCCACGAGGCAGCCUUCACUUACCCAACAGUCUCCACAGGAAUCCAAUUCCCAACCCUCUAGCUUUCCUUCCUACAAGUAAAUGAGUAGUUUGCUAUCAUGCCUAGAAGCCAUACAUGUCUUCCCAAAUGUCAUGUGUGUGGUUUAAAAUGGAUAAAUACCUCGAUGUAGUUUCGGAAUGCUUCAAUUGCUUCAGCACCUUUUGCCUUUGCAUGUUUAGGCUCAGAGAUGACGUUCAUCCUCAGCUCAACGGAUUCAAAUGGUUCUUGUAGGUCUUCUAUGAGACUCCCAAUUCCUUCAUAUGAUCCUGCAAGCUUCAUGCGUACCAUUUCUAUGAUGAUUUUUACCACCAUGUAAGCCCCUAUAGAGUACAACAUGGAUUUCAUUCACUCGACAUUAUAAUGGGUCCCAAUCACUGCCUCAAAGUUCCUGCCCAGAGAAAAAACAGAUGACAAGGAAAAAGAGAAAUGAAACUAACCAUCAUCGAGGAAAUGAUUCUCUUUAAGAGCACCAUGGCCAGAUGUUUCCAUCAUGAGAUGUGCUUCAAUGCCAUCUUUAUUAAGCUGAACUCCUUUAUCAAUGACAUUCCUGUAGCCAACACGAUACAAGCAAUGAUGACCCCCUCUGUUGGCGAUGAAUUGCGUGAGAGCCAUGCUUGUGCGAGCAUCGGUGACAAUGGUGGAUCCAGGGUGUUCCCUCAAUACAAUGGCAGCCAUGAGUGCAAUGAGCUUGUCACCAUUGAUGGGGUUCCCUGAACUAUCCACCACACCACUGCGAUCUACAUCGGUAUCAAAAACAAUUCCAAGAUCAGCAUUGUUUUCGAGGACUGCAGCCUUUGUUAGGGCCAUGGCAGUUUUGUCCUCAGGGUUGGGAAUGUGGUUGGGGAACAUUCCAUCUGGGCUGAGGUUUAGGGAGCCAAAGGUGUCUGCACCAAGUUUAUCUAACACGUCCCAUGUGAAGAAGCCUCCUGAUCCAUUCCCAGAAUUCACAAUUAUCUGCCAAUUGGGUGACAAAUAAUAAAAUUUCAAUUAGUUGCCAAAAAUCAACUCUGGAUUUGUUAAAUACUUAAAAUUAUCCAUAGUCUACUCAUCCAUUUUAAUAAGAUUUUUAUUUAAUUUGUAUCACACACAUGUGAGUAUCCUAUUUGAUAAUAGGCGGAGACAUGGUACAAAAAAUUGAUUUUCGAUACCAUAGUUUGACCCAAAAACUCGUAAUAGAGCAAAUGGGUCGUUUCAAUCAUAUAUGAACAUAGCCCUUGGGCUGGAUCGGCCCAUCCGAGUGCAGUAUGCUGCAUGAGGCCCUGAAUGAUUGGGCCACUUGUUGAAUCGAUUAAUCUGGUACAUCAUCAUCGGGCCCAAUUAUAAUUAACAUAAAAGAGGCCCAAUAUUGGCCUAUGGCUGCAGGGUUCGGGGCCUGAGUGGCCCAUUUUAGAUCCAAUUGACAAGCCAAAUUCUAUGAACCAACAAAUGGGCAGAUAGCAGAUCAGAUCCAUAUCUUUCCACUUUCAUUUUGGUCCUCAAAAAUUUACAGGUGAUAGCUGCACACACCCGUGAACAUACCACAACCAAAGAAAAUGAGAAAGCAAAAGAAUAGAAGGAAUAAAAUGGAACCUGAAACCCUUUGAGUGGAGUGUCAUAGUGCAAGGGAUGGUUCACCCUCUCCUUGAUGAUGUCCCGGAGAUGCUUCGCAUAAGUGCUCAUGAAAUCAACUUUUGUUGGAGGAAUGCUCAACGUGGUUGAUACUUUUGUAAGCCUGUUGGCAUAUUUCCUGGCCGCCUUGUCACAUAUUGCCUCCACUUCCGGCGAGGUCAGCCCCCCUUUCCUAGUGAAGAAUUUUAGGCCGUUUCGCGUGUAGGGUAAGUGAGAUGCUGUCAUCUGCACCACAAACAUUCAAUUGGUCUCAUUUAUAAUCUUACAUAUGUACCCACCAUUCUCUAACAUUCCCAUCUCUAGAAUUUCCUUUUCAUUAUCCCUUUACACUCCCGCAAAAAGGAAGUAAAACCUAAGAAAGUUCUGAGUAUCAAAAUCUCUACGUCAUGGGUUACAAUUUCACCAUUGAAUUUUGGCAUGAAGAAACUUCUUGAAUAGAUUUGUUGAUUUGCAUUUUAUGUACUAAACCAAAAAAAUAAUUACUGUUGAGGUGGCUGCAAGUCAAGGAAAAUCAUUUCCAAAGGCAAAUCCAUGUGUGUUAUUGAGUAGUUUUUUAAGUGACAAAUUCUUAGUUGAAUCUGUGGUGCCAUGAACCUGAAUAUCAUGCAACAACAAAUUCAUCAGCAUGGCCUUGCACCAUCAAUACCAACACUAGAAAGUAAAAAACAAUAGAGAUUUCUGGAUAUUAAUUACCAUUAUAGAAGCGUCAUAGGCAAACGGAGGCAACAAUGUACUCAUGAAACAAGCGGGUGUGGUUGCAAGUCCCAUAUCGAACGCUAAACAACCAGCUCGAGCGAGACCUGAAAACACUGCUGCACUCAAAGAUGCGCCAGAGAUUCGAGGGUCACGCCCAAGAGACACCCUAACACCUUCAACUGGCACGCCUCCUUCACUCUCCAAUCUAUUCAUUACCCACUCACCAAAACUCUCAGCAAUUGCUUCCACAGCCGGUGGCGUGAGAUCCACAGUUCGGCCCUUCUCACCCUCCACCGCAACCCCUCGAACAUCUGAGCCAUUUUGGAGCCUCCUAAUCUUGUCUAUCUCUUCAUCCACCACAACUUCAUUAAACUUUGCAGUGCUGGAAGAUUUUACGUGAAUAGCUUUAGUUAAACGCAAUGAAAACGAAAAAGUAAGAUUAGCUGUGAAUGGCUUUGUGACUGGGGAGGAUGGGAAGCCUUUUUUCCGGGCAUUGCGUUGUAGAGGCAGCGAAAGUGUCGAAGUGGAAGACAUUGAUUUUGGUGGAGUUGGCGCGCCCUUGCAAUUGGUUUGUUUGAAAACCUUUUGAGGAGAGGUCUGGCGAAGAUAAGAUUAGCGCAAUGAACCGUAACCCUACAAUUCAAUAUAUCUAUCCAGGAAGACAAAAUAUCUGUAGACAAACUGGCAAACGCUUAGAUUUUUUGGUUGUUUUAUCUGAGGGAUUUAUGUUGUCUUCACGUACAUGAGCAGUUCACACAAGGGAUAAUAGUAUAUUCUGUGGGAAUUUUUAACAUUCAGGCUUCAUGAAGAGGAGAAAUUUCGGCAUCUUUUUCUUCUUUCUUCAACGAACUCCUGUAAUAUGUCGCCAAACCGUAAUCGUCCUAUAUCCUUUUCAAUAGGGGGGACCAAACAAGUAACAGUGCCUAUUUCUUCUUGAGUCACGUCUGUCUCGGUAUUAUUUCUCUACUUGGCUUCAGAAAUCAAAACAAAAGUGAUUCCAUUUUUCAUAAUAUUAUUAUCAAAUUCACUUUUAUCCUGAGUUUUACAUACGAUUUGAACCUAGGUGUAUCUGCCGGCAAUUUAUAUACUUGUAAUGUGCAUCUUGAACUUACCAUCAUGGGCUCUGCUGUUAAUUGACUGACCAUCAAUGUGUUGUUCCAUUGGCAUGCAAGUUUAUUGCCGUCAAACUUCAAUCCGAUAUGUUUGUACAAAUCUAUUCCAAUCUUGUUCUCUAAAAUUUGUUACCUGACAAAAAAAACUCAUUCAAAUGGUAGAUCAUUUUUUAUCGGUCUUGUGUUGUGAUGAGGACUCAAAAUUGACAUUCCUAAGGAUCCUUUGGAGCCUUUUAGAAUGAAUCUGAAACAUAAAAUUCUAUCCCUUGCUUAUGUUUAUUGUUAAACCUUGGUAUUUUGAGAGGACUAAGCAAAACGCUCGAGCAAACUAAGUAACACGUGUGAGCCACAUCUUCAAGCCAAGGGCAAAACAAUCAAGGGAGAACCCAAUUACAUGUAUGCAUCCUGCAGAUUUCUUAAGCAAUUUGGCACAUGGAGCAAAAAUGAGCACUGCAAACCCUGAAGAACAAUCAAGCCAGUCAUUCUCUGUAAUUGAAUGUCAAUUUAAUUUAUUCUUUGUAAUUAGCAACAGGAUUACUCUCUGUGAUUUGCAAUAAGCAUAACUCAGGUUUAGCUUUAUAGUUAUCAUUCGAUACAUCCAUACUUUCUGAUGUAUUAAAUCAUAAUUGUUAGCACUGCAAUUCAAUCUGUUUAUUUAGCUUUUGGAGUUUCUUCAAUUUUUAUUUCUCUUUCCAAUUCCGCUGGUUUAGUUUUCUCCACGAUCUUUAGUUUUCCAUUUUUAAGUUUCCAUCCUCUUCUUUAAAGCAUUUAGCAGCCUGUCUUUAGCUAAGUAUCUAAGCACCAAAUAGGUGAGCGAAACUGAGAUUCAUCCAUAUCUCAGUCCAAGCUUCCAUUGGGGUUCAGUGAUCUGCAAUGUUUGAGUGGGACUAUACCACAGCAAAUGCAUGCUGCAAGGGUAUGAGAGCCAAAAGUCAAUUACUCUUAGGAGUAUGUUGGUGCAUAAUUGAGAUGGCUUCAACUCUAACUGAGGAAAGAUUUUUUUGGUAUAGAUUGGGCAAUGAUCCUUAGGCCAAAAGCAACUGGAUCAUUGUUUGGUAUCUCGCUUAAUCUCAGGCCAAAAGCAUCUGAUUAAGGAGGAGGAUUUGAACUAAGAAUGGUCAUUUCUACUCUUAAUACCUGCUUUCCUUACUGUUUUUCAUGGAUUUGAACUUUUUGUUUUAUCCAUCGAUUCAACCAAUUCUGAGAUAACUAAGCACUAUCAGCACCACCCCCAAUUCUCUCAUCUCCUCAUUUCUAAUAUCUAAAAUUCUUGGAUCCCUGGGUGACGGGUAAUUUGAGGGUCUUGAGCUAGGAACUUGACAUCACUAGUGCAUCAUCAGUACAAUCCUAGAUCCAUUUGAAUACCACCACAGCACAAGCAUGUUGCUCCUCUGUUUAUAAUCUUUCCAAAAUUAAGUUCAUAUUCCUCCAGCCGAAGAAGCAUCCCUGCUUUAUUUCUAGUUUAAUUUGAUAUUUAUCAACCAGAAAAAUUUAGUUGAAUAAGCUUUUCUCACCAAAGAAUGGUCAUUUCAUUCAGUAUUCUCAGCUUUUCAUUUAUUUUCAUCCAUCAUCUUAGAGGGUUCAGAUAUAAGUACUGGCAUACAGUGACACAGAUAUUUGUGAACAAAUUAGUGAUCAAAUUAAGAAUAACUUAAUAUAUAAUCUUAAUGGGAUGGAUGGCAGAAGCAGUUUUCAUCAUUUUUACUAGAUGAUAGGACCAAGAUAACCAGACAGCACUGGUGAGUGUCAAUACACAGGUUCGAGAAAGGAGAACAUGGAGCCAUGCAUCACAAAUAAACCAGUAAACUGAUUUGCCACUUUAUUCUACUCGAGAUAAUUAUGGAAUGGCAACACUAAAGGCCGGAAGACAUGAAACUCAGCCAAGCUAAAUGACUUGCUUGCACUAGAAAUACCAGACUUGACCACAAAUAGUCUUUUUCAUGGGGAGGAACUUUUCACAUUAGCUCAAUUUUUUCUUGGCAAUGAACAAUCCCCACCUCUGCUCACCCAUUGAGCUCCUUACCAGCUUUGAUUUCCAUCCACCAACUAUAUCUUUGUAGUCCUCCUGAGAAGGAAUUAAAAUAUAAAUAUCAAUAUUGAAAAGAACUUCAGAAAGAGGCUGUGACAAUUAAACAAGAAAAGUGAGAAGUAAAGAACCCACUUCAGAAAAGUCGCUAAUGAAUUUGUCUUUUUCCUUCUCAAUAGAAUCCAUUUCCUUUUGCAAUACUUCGAUGAACUGAAAAACAUGUAGAGGCAACUUCCAUUAACUUGUAAAAACUGAAUGCUAAAGUAAUCGAUAAAAACCAUGUGAACAAAAAUGUAACUUCAUUUCAACCUGAUCUGUUCGGUCCUCUGCAAUGACCUCAUCAAAACCAGCAUCUUUAAGCAUCUGUCAUUGAUUCAUGGGGUAGUGGGUUUGAUUAUGCUUGCAGAAUUAAAACAAAAGCUUAAUGUUUAAAGUUCAGAUGUGACUAUUACCUGUCCAUAUGCCUCUACAUCAUGCAAAUCAUAUCCUCUCUGUCCAAUAUAUGCUUCAAAUUCAGGUGAUGGAGGUCCUGAUCUUUUGCAGUAAUCACUAAUUAGAACUUUUCCUCCAGGCUUCAACCACUUGAAGAAAGAUCUAAAUAAUGCAGGUUUGUCCUGAAAGUUUCACAGUUUCUAUCAAGUGGCAGGAUAUGAAGAAAAAGAGAAGGGAAAGAACAAUCAUUGCAACUUCAAGCCGAAACCGUGACUAGCACUCAGAAGUUGGACCAUGUUCCAUCUGGGGCCUUGGGUUCAAAUGACACUUAGGCAAAGAACCAAGCUAACACCUCAUCAUGUUGACAAGGUAUAUUAAGCUGAUUGUGAAGUAGCAACAACAGAGAAAAGAACAGAAUGUGCACAAAAUUAACAAGACCCUUUAUAGUUGUUCACAGAACAGCCUUAAUCGUGAAAUUCGGAUAAAGAAAUAGGAAUGAUUACUUGUAUGUGAAGAAUAGUGUCACGACUGUAGAUCACAUCAAAUGUACUAUCAGGAUAUGUUUUCUUGGUGCAAUCUGCAACCUCAAAUUCAACCAAGCGAUUGCGUCCAAUGGCACGAUCAAGGGCAAUGGAAAUCAUGUUUAUUGACAGAUCAAUGCCAACAACUUCAACAUUAAAGUCCUCAGCCAUGUAGAAGUCACCUCCGCCAAUGCCACAACCUACGUCCAGGACUUUCUGGCCGGGCUUAAGCUCCAACUUAGCCACAAAUUCCUUUGUUGUUUCUGAUCAAAUUCGGGAUUUUCUCAGUGCAAGAAUUGGUAAUUGGAAUUUAUUAUAGUUAAUUAAACGAAUAAUUUCUCAUGAAUGGCAAUUUGUGCUUAGGAAUAGAAACUAGAAAACACAAAAUUUUGAGGCGCUUUUCAAAAUCAGCAUCAAGGAUGAAUUCCUCAUGCCCAAUUUGGUUGAGAUGGAGCUCAUAUUAAUGUACGAGCCAUCAAGUAAAGUAAAAUAAGUCACUUUGCUGAAGUUAGAGAAAACUUGGUUAGUAGCCAUACCAAGUCCCCCAGUGCUUACAAAACCUUCACCAAAGAUGCGCUCAUAUCGUAAGAUGCCCCUGCACUUAUACUGCACAUUAUCCAGGAAACGUUGAAAUCCCUUGUCAUCCUGUGAAUUAACAUUUUUCCAUAGCCAAUAGAUCUGCAAAGUGUGGUUAGAAAAAAGCAUUAGCAUUUCAAUUGAUGAGUGCUACUUCUAUUAUUAGGAGAAAAAAAAAAAAAAAAAAAAACUUGAGCUGAACAGCAGUCGAUUGUCAUACAUGAGGCCCAACGCAUUUGAAGGUCACAAGCGACAGUUCAAAGGAGUUCCCAAAAUCAUCACACGUACAGCAUUCCUUAAAUACCUGCAUUACAACUCAAAAUAGAAAUAUGAAGUAAGAAAAACAUUUACAUAUUUAAGCCCUUCAAUAUGGAUGCUUUUAUGUACAAAUUCCUUAAACAAUAAUCUUUCUCUUGUUAUAGUGUAGGAAUCACAAAAAUGGACUACAUGUAGUAAGAUGAAAGUCUAACCUUUGUAUAAAAUCUUGGUUCACGAUAGUGUGUGGGGUUGUUUUUGCUUUGAAAAUCACCCGAUUGAUGAAAAGAAGACUCUCUAAGGAAGAGAAAACCACCAACUUUCAACCAUUUAACCAUCCUUUCAGCCAGAUUCUCAACCUGCUAGUCCAUAAAAGAACAGAGACAGAGCUCUGAAUUAAUAAACGUAAACUAAUUCUGCAAAACUGUUGUUCAAGCAAUCAUGUUCCACAUCUUAUUGCCCUGGAAAAAGCAUUGCUAUUACCUCUUUAUCUGAGAGAUGUGUUAGUAGGCAAUUUAAGAAAAUCAAGUCCACAGAACCUGGUGAAAUAUCCAGGUUAGGAGAAGUAACAUCAGCACACAUGAACGUGACAUUGUUGAAGUGCCCAUUGAGGAACUCAUUCUGCAAAGUUUCCAUGGUAUGGAUGAGAUUCAUAUAUAUUUUAUGUGUCUAUGAAUUUGGGAGGAUGAGAAUAAAAAUUUACCUUAGGGAUCUUGCUCUCAGUAAAAUCAAUAACAAGAACUUGAGCAGCCUGCUUGGCUAAUUCAUCUGUGAAAUGCCCAAUCCCUUUCCCUAUCUCCACAACAUGUUUUCCCUCAAGAGGCGGAAGGAGAGAGAGUAACUGUGGAAGAUCAAAUUUGUAUUGAAAUAAAUGAGAAACUGUCAUAAGAGAUGACAAUGGACGAGGAUCAAAUGUGGUUCAUGACCCACUUCUUAUUUCUUGGAAUCGUCUUCUUUUCUUUUCACUAAUUGGUGAGGUUGGCUUUGGCUUUCCAUCAAAAAGCAAAUUAUUGACAGUGAAUGGAGGGUUUUCCUUUACCAAAAAUUGGAGGGUGGUGACUUUUCUCACCUCAGCCAUUUCUUCUUUCUGGAGAUGAGAUGCUUUUGAAUCAAGCAUCCUAGCUUCAACGGUCACUUGUCCAGACUGUUCCAUCCAGUGGCUCUUUUGAAGGUCAACUUCUUACCUAUAACUAUAAAACCAAAUCCAAAUGAAAAUGUUAAACAAAGAAUGAUGAAUAGUAACAAUGAAUGCAAAGAUGAGUCAGAAAUCUCAACUUGGGCAGCUAAUGUUGGUUUUUUUCCGCUUCUACUACUUAAGUUUUAUGUAUUCAUCUACAGAAAUUCAAAAUAAAUUCCUGCCCUUGACUGAAAAACGACCUGCUUGAAUCACAAUAGCCACAGAAACCUCCCUAUGACUGAUCUCCACAGCAUAACCAGAGCUUGUGAGUAUGAAUAGUUAUACUUUUAUAUGAAAAUGCUGCUGGUCAGUGCAUCUCCAUAGCCUACUACCAUCAUCAAUCAAUUUUUCUUACUGGCUUUUCUGAAAUAAAUAAAUAAAACCAGCAGGGGAUUGUUGCAGAACCCGAAUCUUGAGAAGAGGCCAAGUAAGGCUGAGGAGUGACCAGCAAGUACUGCUUUAUUUCACAUGCAUUUGGACUGGCCCUUGCUCUUUCGUUUCACAUGCAGUCUAUAAUAAAACACUAACCAAUAAAUAAACGAAAACCACUGCAUAUUGUAUAUAAGAGCGUGCACCACAUUUUCAUAAUUGAUGAUAUUUUAGUGAAAAUGUGUCCCUUGAGAUUGAUGAAGAGAUUCAUGGUUAGUGAUAUUUGAAUACAAAAAUAUGCCCUUGAAGAUCAAAGUAGGGGAUCGGAUGAGAGACCUUCAUUUUUGAAGGAAAAAAUGACCAUUGCAAAUUUGUUUGAUGUGUUACCUAUAAAAAUUUCAAAACAUGAUUUUAGAAAAUACUUAAUCAUAAAGCACUUUUAGGUAAGAAUGUGUGGUAAAAAUCUAUGAAGUGAUUUCAACAUAUUAAAAGUAUCCCUUUGUUCUAUUUUGAAUUUUCUUCUAUUUUUUCUUUGCUAUAAAUAUAGAUUUUUAACCUUUUUUUUUCAUUUGUAUAGCUUUUCGAAAAAACAUUUAUACCUAAAGUGCUUUUGUUGUUUUAGAAUAAACACAAAAGUGCUUUUUAACAAGAAUAUUACUGAUACUCUAAAUGAUAUAACAUUGAUAUUUAAGAAUAACAACGGAUGAGAAGGAUGUAACUACAUUGCAAGCUUUCCCUCGCUAUAAGAAUCAUCCUAUUUCUAUCUUUCAUAUUCAUUUCAAGAACCCCCUGAUGGCACCAACAUGUAAUGGUCUCUCAUCUUCUUCAAUCACUAGUAAUAUUCUAUUUGUAGCUCCAGGCAUCGGAACCAAAUAAUUUCACCUUGGCCCACCAAAGAAUCAUUCCAUGUCUAUCUUUGGCUUUUAUUUCAAGAAACUCCCAUGUAAAACAGACAAGCACUGGCCCCCCAUAUUUCUUCGUCAAUGACUAUUGAUAUCCUAUUAAUAGCUUCCGAAAUUGAAGCAAAAAUGAUUCCAUUUUUGGGCCCCACGAAGGAUGAUGAUAUUUUUACUUUUUCAUUUUUAUUUUCAAGGGCCUCCGGUCUCCCACCCAAGAGUAAUGGUCCUUAUUUCUUCUUGAAUCCCCAAUGAUAUUUCUAGACCACCGUUUUCUCAAAUUUCGUUACUCUUGGUAAAAAGAAAUAUUUUGUAGCUUUUUAUUGAUGAUUUUUUCAAGAUAGACAUAUAUUUAUUGACUGUGAUAAAGAAUUUGAAAAAAUCAAAAUAUUUAAAGUUGAGGUUGAUAUUCCACUUGUUAAAAAGACUAAAGUUUUGAGGAGUGAUUGUCAAGGAAAAUAUCUACCUAAUGAGUUUAAAGAAUUUCUUAAAAUUCAUUGAAUUAGACAUGAAAUCACAUCUCCAUAUUCUCCUCAAUAGAACACGACCUUGUAGAGAGGAAAAAUAGUUCUUGAAGUGAAAUAAUGAAUUCUCUUCUCAUAAGUUCUAGUCUUCCUAGUAAUCUUUGAGGAGAAACUUCGCUAUUUGCCUGUUAUAUUCUUAGUAGAAUACCAUACAAAAAAUCUAGUACAACUUCUUAUUAGUUAUGGUUUAAUAAAAAGCCUAAUAUAGGUUAUUUUAAUGCAUGGAGUUGCCUUUCUCAUAUGAGAACACAUGAUAUUAAAAUAUCCAAGUUAGGUCCAAAAAACCUAUAAAUGUGCUUUCAUUGGUUGUUGUUAAAAAAAUUUAAAAAAAUAAAUAAAACAUAAGAUAUAUUUUUAUAAAAUGAAUGGAUACAAUUAAAAAAAUUUCAGCAUAUACAUGCUAAACAAAAAGUUAUUGGCACAAGGAAUAUUGAAUAUUCGUUUGAACCAUAUUUUUAUUCUUGUUGAAAAAGAUAGAAAUGAAACUAGAAAGGAAAUCAAAUAUAUAGAGUGUCAUGAUUUUCUAUUUUAGUAGUAGGUAAUUCAAAUAGCUAUCAAGAAGCAAUGCCUUCUUUAGAUGCUUCUUCGUGGAAAGAAGCAAUUGAAGAUGAAUGAGAUUCCAUUAUUUCUAAUGGAACAUGGAAACUAGCUUAUCCUCCUUGAUGGUCAAAGCCAAUAAGUUGUAGGUGAGUAUUUAAAAGAAUAGCGGUGGUGCUAUAAAUAGAAAGAAAGUCAUUCUAGUUGCCAAAGAUUUUAACGAGAGAGAUUUUGAUGCAUAUGUUCCUAUUGUAUGAAUUAGUAUAAUUUGAUUACUUAUAUCUCUUGUUUAUAUUAAUCAUUUAGUGAUUCAUCAAAAAGAUGAUAAAAUAGUCUUUUUUGAAUGGAGAUUGAGAUGAAAAUUUUCUUAUAGAGCAACUAAAAGGAUUUAUACAAUUAGAUAAUUAAGAGAACAGAGUAUAUAAAAUUAUUAAAUCUAUGUAUGGCCCGAAGCAAGCUCUUAAGACAAUGGCAUUAGAAAUUUGACAAGGUGAUUUUGUCAAAUGGUUUUCAUAUAAAUAACACAAAUAAGUAUAUCUAUAGAAAGUUUGAUGAAAUCAAUGGUAUUAUUAUAUGUUCAUAUGUAAAUAACAUACUUAUAUUUGGAACCAACCUAGAAUAUGUGAUGGAGACUAAAAAUUUUCUUUCAACUAGUUUUGAAUUAUAGAUAUGCAUGAUAUGAUAUUAAGCAUUGAAAUCAAAAGAAAUAAUAAUAUGUUAGCACAAACACAAUUGCAUUAUAUAGAAAAAGUGUUAAAGACAUUUGGUCAUUUUGGUCUAAAAUCAAUCCCAACAUCUUUUGAUUCAAACAAAAGGUUAGUAAGGCAUACUAGUAGACAUAAAUCACUUUAGAGUAUGCCAAGAUUAUUGAAAGUCUUAUGUAGAUCAUGCACUAAGCAGCCAAAUGUUGCAUUAAUAACUAUAUAGCAAUUGGGAUGGUUAGUCAGAACAUCUUUGAUAAACUUACUUAAAAUGAGUAUAGAAGUAAGGCCGCUUCUUAAUAGAUUGAAACCUACUUAACAACAUUCAUGAAAACUAGGAUAAAGACCAUAGAUGUACGAGCUUUUAAGAACUUCAAAAAACAUGAAAUUAAAUUUGUAUUCAAAUGUACUCAACUAGUUGUAUAAGAUCCUUGGUUCAUAGUAACUCACAAAAUAAAAUGUCCGUUGGUGAAUCAUGAGAAAAGGCCCAAGUAUAAGGGAAUCUUUGGCUUCAAACAUGGAAGUAACAUUAUUUCAU
rnacentral:lncRNA from 1 species